UAGCUAGCAACGUUGAUCAUUGACCAAUGUUCUCGAUUCAACCGAUCAGUUUUUGGCCGGAGGAUGGUAGAUGGGAGUUGGUGAUGCGUACGUUGGCGCUGGGGGGUGGUACUCAGGCUCAGGCUUUGGUUUGGGCUCAGGCUUAGGCUUCGGUGGCACAGGUUUCUUGUGGAAGUGGUCAAAGAACUUGUGAUAGUCAUGGUCCUUGUGGAAGUGAUCAAGGAAGUGCUUCUUGUCAAACGAUAUUUCUUUCACAACCGGAGGGUGGUAGAUCGGAGUCGGAGACCCGUAUGUGGGUGUCGGGGGGUGGUACUCAGGCUUAGGCUGCGGCUUUGGCUUUGGUGGCACGGGCUUCUUGUGGAAGUGGUCAAAGAUGUGGUGGUAGUCAUGGUGUUUGUGGAAGUCAUCGUGCAAGGGAUUCUUGUCGAACAAGUGCCUGGCAGGAGGGUGGUAGAUUGGUGUAGGUGACCCAUAUGUUGGCGUUGGUGGGUGGUACUCAGGCUCAGGUUGAGGUUUGGGCUCUGGCUUGGGCUUGGGUGGCACAGGCUUCUUGUGGAAGUGGUAAAAAAAGUGGUGGUAGUCAUGGCCUUUAUGAAAGUGAUCAGGCUCAGGCUGCGGCUUAGGCUGCGGCUUGGGCUCCGGCUUUGGCUUUGGUGGCACGGGCUUCUUGUGGAAGUGGUCGAAGAAGUGGUGGUAGUCGUGGUCCUUAUGAAAAUGGUCGAGCAAGGGCUUCUUGUCAAACAAAUGUCUAGCUGGAGGGUGGUAGAUCGGUGUGGGUGACCCGUAUGUUGGAGUCGGAGGGUGGUAUUCUGGCUGUGGCUUGGGCUCUGGCUUCGGCUUUGGUGGAACUGGCUUCUUGUGGAAGUGGUCAAAGAAGUGGUGUGGCUUAGGUUCUGGUUCUGGUUUGGGUUCUGGCUUCGGCUUCAGCGGAGAUGGCUUCUUGUGGAAGUGGUCCAAGAAGUGGUGAUAGUCGUGGUCCUUGUGGAAGUGAUCAACCAUGUGCUUCUUGUCGAACAACUGCCUUGCUGGAGGAUGGUAGAUUGGAGUUGGGGAUCGAUAUGUUGGCGUAGGGGAGUGGUACUUCGGCUGCGGCUUAGGUUCUGGCUUUGGCUUUGGCUCUGGCUUCGGCUUCGGUGGCACAGGCUUCUUGUGGAAAUGGUCCAACAGGUGCUUCUUGAUCGGCCCGCAUAGGGUUGCCGACGCGCAUUCUGCCGACGGGUAGUCUGUCUUGCCAGGGACCACGACGAAGUUGCCAUCGGACGACUGCGGCACAAUCCUGGAAGGUUCCUGACCGGGGCACGGGGUGCCCGCGGCGCUGUGGAGCUGCGCAACGCAGUCAGCGGCGUGCAUGUCCGUGCUCAGCGGGAUGCUGAAGGCGCCGGAGACAUCUAGCUUGCCUAUGGCCUUGCUCUCGUACUCGCCUUUGCUGUUCCUGCACUUGAUCGCCACCUCAAGACCUGAAAUGCAUGGAUCGAAAAGCACCGUCAGUACCAGCAGCUAGCUUCUUCUGACCUUACUGAUCAGCUUAAAGCAUUGAGUAUCCACUGUUUAUGUUAUUAGCUUAAUUAAAUAUGCAUGUAUAUUAUUCCUAGUAUAUUUACCCUUGAAUGCCGCUUCGGCCUUCAUGUUCUUCCUGGUGCAAUCGGCGCAUUUGGCGAGGCCGAUAACCACCGAGGACGCCUCACUGGAGGCAGCGCUUGCGACGGCUAUUACCAUCAGCACGGCGAAAAUGCCGGGGAGAAGGCCCCCAUGUACCGCAGCCAUGGCUAGAUGGAUGACUCGAUGAGAUGAAGAAGAGGCAAUGCAAUGCCUGCCUUAUAUAGGCCUACGCAUUGAUCAAACACAGCUCGAUCUUACAUGCAUGCACGCAUGAUCACGAGCUGGUGAGGACUGAGGCGCCAGCACACAUAAUUUUGGCGCCGAAAUUGCAGACCGGCCGGGAAUUAAUGCCGUCCAUUUGAGUUGAUCAAUCUCUGUCUGUCCAUUCAUCAUGUCCAGUCGGUUGGUAGUAGUUGGAGUUGUGUAAGUUACGUCAGUUGCGGCACUUUGGAUUUGCAUGCAUGCAGCGCCAGUACAUGCCCUGUGUAAUGCAGGUUUCCAUUGGUCACAUCGGAAAAGCAAAGCUUGUAAAAGCGCGUGUCCGGUGUGCUCAUCUGCUGGACAAUAAAUUUCAGAACAGUAUAGUAUAGUUUGGUUUGUUUCAGAAAAGGGACAGUACUUUCGGAAUGUGGAUACAAAAUAAGUUCUUUCUGACCGCGUGUAGUUGGAUACAACAUAUAGUAGCACAAAAAAGCUCUAUGAUGACGGUAGUGUCUAAUUUAUAGACGCGGCGAGCCCAAUUCAAGAACCGCCACUGUAAACCCAUUUACACUGACAGUUCACUUAAGGAAACUGUCAGUGUCAAUAGUGCAUUUCCACUAGCGGUUUCCUUAAGUGCUGUGCAAAUAGAUUUACACCAGUGGUACCUUAUGUCAGCCGCCAGUGAAGUUUUUGGUAUAAAUACUCAUUCUUCCUCCACGAGUAGAACUGUUUCUCACAACCACCUUCUAUUAGAGGCCAUUUUGGAGGUCUAGAUUUUUAGGAGGUUGCUAAGAAAUGUUAGUUUAUAUCUCUCUUGCCUCUUUUUGUUCAUUCUUGCUCAAUUUGAACCACUUUAUGGAUCUAGGAUUUCACCAUAUGUUAGAGAGAAGAAUAGCUAGGUUAUUAUCUUUAUUUGCUCAAAUGAUCUUAAGAUUGUUAGAUGAUGUCUCUCCUCUAUCCCUUUUUAUUUUUGCUUCUCACUUUAGUUUAUCCAAGAUAUAUUUAGUUAUUUUCAUGAAUUGUGUGUUCUUGUCUAUUUAUGUAGAUAGAGAAAUAUAGGUUCUUUUGUUAGUUUUAUAAAUUGUGUAGUUUUUUGUCUUCAUUUCUCAAUUUGAUUUAAUUAUCCACUAUGUAUUUAUGUUUCAUGAAUGGUGUGUUUGUAUGUAGAGGGGAAGAUAGGUUUCUUAAUUAAUUAAGAUUAUUGUGUUUAUUAAUUAGAAAAUAUGAAAGAGGUUUCUUUGUUUACCACUAUGUUGUUGACUGAGGUUACUUAGUACGGUUAAUUUUAUUCUUCUAACUUUUAGCGAACCUUGCUUCAAGGUCUAUAAAUUGGAAAAUAUACAAGUGGGAGGUUUUCAUCUUCAUUUCUUCGAAAGAGGUUGGUGAUCAAAAGAUUAGAUAAUAAAUAUCUCUAGACAAUCAUACUUGUUUUGCAUUGAUUAUAAUUAAUUCAUUAUAUUUUUUAUAUGUAAUGAUGGAGAGGUCAUUUUGGAUGUAUAAUUUAUCAAGACUAAAUCCAUCAUAUAUACCCGAGGUCCCUAGGUUUUUUGAUGCUGACUAAGAACCAUGCUUGGAGAACAAAGAUGAAGCACAUCUAUUGUCCAUGCAUAGACUGUACAAAUGUUAUUGUAUUUGAUGACACUAAAUCAAUCAUUUAUUAUUUGGUCUAACAAGAAUUUAUGAUGGAUUACUUGUUUUGGACAAAGGGUAGCUUGCGCCUUAUACAAAUAGAAACCUUACGAACAUCGACGUUGAUGCUGAUGGAUUUCCGUUCCUACAUGAGAUACAACAACCUCUUUCCUAGAGUGAACAUGUUGUGCCAAAUGUUACGGUUAUGGAAGAUGUAGAAUUCUUAGGGUAAAGUUGCAUCAUCAUAUGGAUCCAUGAAUAUUAUUAAUGAAAGGUAUGGAAGCCCUGAUAAAGGCUGCAGAAGAGACUUUGCACGACGAGUCUAAGGGUUAUACCAAAGAGUUCAUGACACUGCGGUCUAUGCUAAAGUUGUCGAUGUUAAAAGCUAGAUAUGGUAUGUCUGAUGCUGGCUUGGAUGCAUUCUUGUGUAUUAUUGCAGACAUGCUUCCAAAGGGAAACAAUGUGUGUGCUAAGACGUACUAUGUAAAGAAACUAAUCAGUCCGCUCACUAUGGGUAUGGAGAAGAUCCACGCGUGUCAUGAUGACGAUGAUUAUAAGGACUUAGAGAGUUGUCCAAAGUGUGGUGCAACUACGUACAAGACAAAUAAAGACUAUCGAGAGAAAGAGUGUGUUGCCUCCAUUUCUAAAGGAAAGAAGCGAAAGGAGACCAAAUAGAACAAACAAUAAAGUUCAAAAUCUAGAAAAAUAUUCCUACUUUGAUGAUGUGGUGUAACACCCUAGUGUUAAGUAUGCAUUAAGGCUUCAUCAAACUUAUAUGAGCAUUGGCACAAGCAUGAGCAUCUCAUGUGUUGUGCUAUAUUUUAUGCAUAUCUUUUAAAUGUGAAUUAAUUUUGAUAAUUGUCAUGCUAUGUCUAAAAAUGCUUGUUAUGCCUAGAUUAAAUUGUUUUAUGCCUAAACUUAAAUUAGAAAAUUUAAGUACCAUUUUUGGAGCCCUAGAAUUAAAGGAGUUGAUUUAAAUUAAAAUUUCGCAAAAUAGAUUUAUUUCAAACCUAGAACUAACUUUAAAUUGAAAUUCAAAAUCCAUUUGGAUUCUUGAUUUGCACCAUAAAGCAAAGUUAUAGAGAAUUUUAUUUUGAGCAACUUUUAUUUUUGGGUCAACUCCUGAAAAUGCAUUUAAAACAGUGUUUAAAAAUUAAUUGAGAAAAUAAAUUCAAAAAAAAGAGAAGGGAGGAGCGCCCUACUGGGCCACGCACCUUGCUUCUGGCCCAGCAGCCAAAGCCGGCCUGGCUCGUGAGCACAUCCCCUUCCUCCUCAGGCGCGCACUGUGGCCAGGUGACGUCGUGGCCGACCGUGCGUAGGCCAGCCGCGCCACGUGGAUGGCAAGCAACGGCAGCGGCUACGACAGUGCCUGCUUGCCCGAGCAGAAGGGGACGACAGCGGCUCUGCGUUGUCCACCUUCUCCACUCCACCCCGACCACACCUCUCUUGCUCUCGUCUCACAAAGCAGAGCUUGACAGCACCAUCGUCCGCCAUAGCCGCUACCGAGCUCCAGCGUCGACGUUCCAUCUUGUUGGUCGCUCCCGCCCUCGAUUCCUCCUGUCCACCGCUCCGUCUUCAUUCUCCUCAUCUCUGAAUGAGUCGGAUUGCCUCCCUUGGCUCAAGGUGAGGGAUAGCCGGCUGUCUUCUUCUUCUCUAGUGUGAACGUCGCAGCGGUUCAUGUGGUCAGCAAGGCCGCCGAGCCUCUUCCUCCUUCCUUUUGCGCGCAUCACAUUCGCCUUGACCUCGCCAAGCUCGUGCGUGCUCUGGUUCAUGCUCUACGCCGGAGUUCGUGAGUCCACCAUCCAGCAGAGCCAUCGUGCCGCCAUGGCCGGCGACGAGCUUGCUUCGGGGUGUCUCCAGACAAACCACCGCGCGCAUCCUGUUCGCCUAGGCUCGGGGAACACACAUGAGUGCUCGGUGUUGCCGUAGGGUUCACCGACAGCGAGAUCAGGCUCGCCGGAGUUCUCCCCCUCUCUGUGUGGCUAACAGGUGGGGUCGAGGACCCACUUGUCUAUACCUGUGUGCGGAUGCGGGUGCACUGCACCGGGUACACCUAGUAGAACUCGCCGAGACUUGAUUCUCAAUUUAAAGAAAUGUUUUUCAGAUAAUGGUUUAAAGCUUGUAAAAAUCAUAGCUUGAUUUCUAUUGCUCCAAAAAGUUUAAACAAAUUUUGUUAUGCUCUAUAUUAGUAGAUCUAAAGUUCGGUGUACUUGGUGUGAGACUUUUCUGUGAAGGUUUAUUUAAAUCUUGAAAAUAUUGAUUUCUUAUAAAAUAUGCAAAAAAUAAAAUAUAGCUCUGAAAAAUGUACUUCCUAUCUUGGUACAUUUGCACUACAAUCUAGCCUCUGUGAAAAAUGAGGAACCUAAUAUUACUCUACAAAAAUAAUUAUUAGUGAAUUAAUGCUUGCAUGAUGAUGGUUUAAGAUUUUUAAUAAAUAAUAUAUAAAUGCAAUUAAUCUAAGAAUUUUUGUAGGGCUCUCCUAUGUUACAAAGUAUUAAGGAAAAAUAUUAAAUUUGUUGUCUGACACUUUUGUAUGUAUAGAGUAUUUUCCAUUGUUUAUGUUUAGCAUACUUGUGAUUUUUGUGUGGGCCAUUUUACUUACCCAAAUUUUGUGAAAGUUUUAUGGUAGACUAUAUGUGUGAUCUAUAAGCUACUGUAAUUUUUAUGGAACUUAUUGAAUACCAGAGGUAUAUGUUGUUGUUAUUGGCCUAGUAAUAAAUAAAUAAAUAAAGAAUUAUUUUAUGUGAACUUGAAAGUAAUUAAACAGUUUGGUGUAUCUUUGAAGCAUUCUAAUGUGUGCUGCUUUAUCUUGGUAGGUGUAGAAAAAGAAUAGAAUAGAAUAACUUGUACUUAAGUUACAUGUUCUUGGAUGACAUUGACUACCUAGUACAAAUAGAUCACAUUGUCUUUUUGUCAUGACUCCCCUCUACCGGAGAGGAGAUAUGCACAUACUCAGUAAAUAACACAUCAUGACCACCCUUGUGAUCAUCUGCAUAAUCAUGCACCAUAUGUUCACCAUCCACUUACUUGAGCAUAUGCAUCAUACAGGCUCGUAGAAGAACGACGUGGUGACCGAACCUGAGGAGCCGGAGGUGACCGAGGUGCAGGAGAUCACUGAGGUGGAAGAGCAAGAAGAGGAGCUGCAAGAGUGUCUAGAUCACAGUCCUAGUUCUUUCGAGAAAGGCAAGCCUUGCUCCCCAAAUUUUCUGCUAAUUAUAUAUAUAUCAUGAUGGUUAUAUUGUUAUAUUAAGUUAUAGGAGUUGCUUGAUACCAUUGAUGUAUUGAAUAUCCCUUGGAAUAUCACCUUUCUACAUACCUUAUCCUAUGUAGUAUGGGCUCAGAGUCAAUGCUUAGCUCUGCUUAGCACAGUAGAAGUCGGAUGAUUCCCUGUCACCUGCGAGCUGUAGGUGGUCACCAAAGGUUUGGCAGUAUGUUUGCUAUCAUAAGUAAUAACCAAAUGUUGGGAAGCAAAGCUAAGACCGGACGAAACCUUUUGGGGGUGUUGGACCAUAGUGAUUCUGUCCUUGUCGAUUAAGGACCGAUCAUUGGUGGUCCUCUUGUCAUGUUGAACGCAUACCCUACACUUAACUUGAAGGAUAAGUUGUUCUGACUGUGAAGGUGGGACGCUAUUUGGGCCAGGAAUUGACCUGAUGUACGCACUGUAUUGGAGAUAGUUGAGGAGACUGAUGAGGGCGCGACGUGCAACCUUGGUAUGCCUUGGAUACCUUUGUCAUCGGAACGGUCCUUGGGUAUGGUGGUGCCUGCUGAACCGUGAAUUGGUCCUGAAUAGUGCAUCCGGUGACCUGUAGCUUACUUGAUCAGUGAGUGUGGCUUAUGUAGGGAAUAAAAUCACUAGCUGGUUAGGAAUUGUUUCGAAUCAUCAUCGCUCCUGGAUAGUAAGCACUUGACUUGAGCUUUGUCAUCGUAUUAAUGUUUAUGGAACACUGGAUGGUUAUGAGAUAUUGAUGAAGCUGGAAAAGCUGCACUAAAUUGGUAUUAUUGUACUGAAUCAAGUGAUUGCUAUAGUACAGGUGUUAAUCUAGAUGAUAGGUUAAUGAUACUUAACUUGAGCUAAUUAUCUAAAAAGGUUAUUUACUUAGUAACUUAAGAUUUUAUGGAAAGUUUGUGUCGAGCUACCCCUUUAUACAGCCUUACAUGAUCUUUGGUGUCAUUUAUUUCUGUUUUGUGAUAGGUAAGUCUAGCUGAGUAUAUUCUCAUAAUCAGGGCUCUGUUUCCAUGUUGUUUUGCAGAUGGGCAGAUGUACUAUGGGUACUGUAUUAACUGUCUUUACCUAGCUAUGGGUGAUGCUUAGACCAAUGGUGUGGUCACUUUGUCUUAUCUUUUGAUUUUGUGGGAAUCAUCAGACUCUAGCACUGUAAUCAAACUAAGUUUGUGUGUUUUCUAAAACUAUUCACUUCCGCUACUACUUUCAAGACUUGGUUUGUAAUAACUAAAUUCAAACUCCAAUGUACUGAAAUGUUUGUCAAUGAUAUGUAUUGUAUGAAUGGCGACCACUGAACUUAUUACGAUCUCUGUUAUGUUUGAGGAAAUUUUGAGAUCCUUCGAGAUUUCAUGGACUACCGGGAUUAUAUGGGCUUAAGUCUUUUAUAAUUUGGACAGUUCUGUUACAGCUAGUGUUGGAGCCAGUUUUAGCGGAUUACAGUUCAUAAGUAUAUUUAAAACAAAUUAAAUUUGUUUACAAAAACUGAUUAUCCAUCACGAAUUAUCAAGGUGUUAAAGUGAAUUUUGGAAAAUUAUAAGUGUGCUAGUGGUCAUAUCCUUUAUGUCUAGUUAAAGACUCUAAGGUGGCUAUUUAAGUACUGACUUGUUGGUUUAUGCAUCAUAUUUCUCUUUCAUUGCUCAUAUGGCAUUGUUGACAUUUACUACCGCCAUUACUAAAAAUAUAGAUAAACCCUACCUCUAGCAACAACGGCAAAAAUGCUCGGUAUAUAAUUAACUUAUCAUUAAGCAACUAGCCACUUCUUAAUGACUAACAUUCCUAAACAUGAAGUAGGUUGUCAUCCCUAAUUAUAUUGCUAGGAAUUUAUUAUAUAUUCACAUGUACUAUUGUGACUAGGCAGAAAUAAAAGAUAUGAAUAUGAUUAUAAACUAAAUGGGUUCUAGAAGUGGACAGAUAAUUAUACCAUUGUAGGAUUUUACCUAGGGAAGUAUCCAGGUUGUCGAUUUAUAUUUAUACCACUGGGAAGGCUAUGUGUUAAACAAUAAUCUAUUAUAUUGAUAAGAAACUAUAUAGGAUGAAUAAAUGAUAUUACCAAGGUUGUCUAAUCUACUCAUAACAGGUAGAGGUCACAAGAUAAAUAUGGGUAAAUAAUAAUGAUAGCAUAAUCAUCAAGUAUCAUAUUUAUGAAUAAUCAUUAGAGCAUCUACUAGUCAUGAUCAUAGUUAGCCAUUAGAUAAACUAGGGAGUUGGAUCUAAGGUAAUUCUAUAACUACAUCACUGAAUAACUCUAAUUAGUGCAAUUACAUCUAGAAAUCAUUGUUGAGCUAACCCUAUAUCAUAGUCACAUGUAAAGAGGCAUCAACUAAUGAGGGUAUUAAGACACAAGGGUCACCUCCUUCGCGACCGUGCCCAUGCUAGUCCUACGUACGAAGGGUGGACUACAGAGGAUACGCAACUGUCACCUAUGCGGUCUACCACACGACCCGACACGUCAGAGUGCACUCGCAGAUAAACAAUAUAUCUAGACACCACGUCUACAUAUUAUCUAUCAUCAACCCAAAGAUCUAUUAGGUCAACGCUAUAUGAGCAAUUACAUGAAUUCAAUAAGAUCAAACCAACUAUCCUAGACAUAUAAUCAAAGUAGACAAUGGCUAUUGCAAUUAAGAAUAUAUGAAUCUAUUAAGAACAAAGUCUCCCUAAUAUACAAUUGAAUACUAUAAAGUAAGAACAAGAUCUAUUACCGAACUCUUGCGCUCCAGACCGAAGCUAGGGGCUCCAGAUCCCGAUGAAGAACUAGAUCUCCUCUACUUCCAAUCUAACUAACUAGAACUACGAACUAGAAGGCUCUUGAUGAACUUGAAGGCGCUUGAUGCUUGAUGGCUCGAGGCCUUGAUGAAUAAUGGAUUGGUUUAUUUCUCCAGGGGGGUCUACCCCUGUAUUUAUAGUCCGGAGGGAUGCGCGUGCGUCGUAGGAUCAAACCGACUUAACCAAGGGCCGAGAUGACUCCUCGUAGGUGGUGGAGGAAGCUUCUAGAAGAGGAAGGUCAAAACCCUAGAUGGGGCACCAGCCGGUGCUAGGGUGGGGCCAGCUGGCCCCACCUGGCAGCCGCCUGGCCCCCUGUUGCUUUGGGUGUCUUCUCGAUCCUUCCUGAGUCCUCCCGUGAUAUUUCCCGUGGUGGAUAAGUUUCGUGUUUAUUUUGUACUAGAAUCCCUCUUUUCAGCUUUCCUAGAAUUCACCCUGAAAAAUACAGGAUAUACAAAACUCGUGGAAAUUGUCAGUUUAAACCCUAGACUAGUGUGUUUUCAUGUUCUCCUUCGGGUUUAAAGCUCUAUAAAAGUUGACGUUAUCGAUCAUCAAUCUCACACCCAUAUUUUAAGAACAAAAUAGGAUGCAUAAAAGACUCAUAUGUGCCCCAGAAACAGUCGCACACAUAAGUAGACAAAUCUCAAAUGUACCAUUGCAGUGUUUAUUACAUAGGGGAACAAUAAUAAAUCACAUAGUCUUAUACAAGAAUGAUAAUAAGAUUAAACAACGCUCUCGACGGAAGCACCACACAGGGACACUGUUGACUAGUUGACUCCAAGCCUAAUACUCAUAACGGUAGUCCUCAUUCCAAUCAUCAUCAUUAGCAUAACCUGGGGUGUUGGGAAAUUGCAAGAGUGAGCACAUAUAGUACUCAACAAGUAUAACCAGGGGUUCAUGAGGCUCAAAUAGCUGACACUGGUUUUACUGAAUUUAGCUUUUAUAUGUAGAUAGCAUGUUUAUAUUUAGAUAGCCAAUAUCAAGGUAGCAUAGUAAAUCCCAUAACCACAUGAUCAAUGUAUACAAGAAUAAAGAAUAACACAUAUAAAUAACAUAAUAAACCAUCAUUUAUUAUCAUUAAUCAUAUUCAUCAGUGUCCAUCUAUUCCGUCAGUUUUUUGGGCCGCCCGUAUCCGUGGGCACGGCUAGUAUACCAGAUUUAACACUCUGCAGAGGUUGUACAUCUUUACCCAUGAGUCAUGAUUUACCCUUUCGCCCAAGGUAGCUAAUAUCUUAACCUCCUUCCUAGGGAGGUCGGUAGGGAUCACUAUGAAGCCUUUCAAAAGUUCGUCUAACAUGUUAGGGCCGCAAAGUUUCCUUCGUGCGCAGAUAUAGAUACCCCCCUUCCAAAUGGCAUAAUGACGCGCAGCCUAUACACAUAAGGAUAGGGGCUCGCACUAUACCCAAAACGGUUCAGCCCCUCUAGCGUCCUUUCGGGUAACCUCUAACAAGCUAGAAAAGGUCUUCAUACUGAGCUAAAGCCAGAGCCAUAUAACCCUCAUAGUUGUACGAGUUAUCCCAGCUUUUGCCAAGGGAUAAGUCCUUAUGAAGGGUCAAGAUCAAUCCAGCAAAAGCCAGAGUUCUUUCCACCCUUUAUAUUCAAGUUGCUAGAAAGCUUAUUUUAUUGUUUAUUGUAUAUUCAAAUAUUUAUGUUACAAGAUCAUGGAUUAAUAAUCAAGCACUAGCAAGAACUACCCACAUGCAUAUCCAAAUAGGUAACAAGGAAUUCAGGAUAACAAUCAUCUAUGAUUUUGCUAAAGUCAUCAAGGUGGACACAUGCAUAUGAUAUAUGUAUUAAAAGUGUGUAGGUAACAAGGAUGAUCCUAAGUUAUACUUGCCUUGAUCAAAGCUCUCCUGAGCCUGCUGCUGGUCUUCAAAAGAUGGACCUUGAUCACCAACGUAUCAUUCUCUGUCUAUACUCAAUCAUCAAUCAACAACACGCAAUCCAAUGUAGACAUUCAUACACGAAGCAAACAAGCUAUUAUUAGAACAAUACACCAAACAAUGGUAAAACAAAUAUAAAAGUUUAUCAAAAUAUUCUACGCAGCGCUACGAUCACAUAAAUGUAAAGUUCACGAAAAUCAGAAUUAAAACGUAGAAGAUAUGAAUUUUCCAAGAUUUCCUAUUGAUAAAUAAUUAGUUAAAUACUACUGCAAAAUUAAAAAGUUUCAAAACAGAGAACUAAUACUCCUAACAUGUAGAGCUCGUAAUUACGAACCUAACGCACUUUGAAUGGACAAAAAUGGAGUUAAAACGAAUAUUUUAUGAGCAAAACAAAAUCAAUGGCAAUUCUGUAAAUACUGGAAAGCGUAAUUUGAUUCAAACCGACGAAAAUACGCUUUUAGAAAAUGAAAACGUAAACCAGAAAAUACGUAAAGGACGGCGGGUUGAUUCCUCGGACCCUAGGGGUCUCUUUAGCAAAAUAACCCCUGAAGGGGUAUCUUCUGUUCUGGUGCGUCGGAUUUCGAUCGGACGGUUGAAAUUGCGCAGGGGUGAGAUCCGGCCGACUGCCUCGCCGGAACAGGAGCCCGACGCGGCGGCGCCAUGGCCGGAGGAGCCGAGCUCGGCGGCGCUCAUGGUUUCGACGACUCAGAGCCUCCGCGGAAGAAAGAAAUGCACCGGGCGGAAGAGGAGCUUACCCCGAGCUCGCCUAAGCACCUUUCUAAGGCCGAGGACGCGCGUAUGGAGCUCGCGGCGGCGGCGAGAAGAACUUUGCUCGGUGAGAUCCCAAAACGCAAGAAAACGGUGGCUAGGGCACAGUUUGGCAAUUUAGAUGCAAAGAGGAGUUUGCGGCGGUGUUAGGGAGUCUUAUAGGACGCGAUUGAGCAAGAAAGCCCGGGUUCUUCGGGAUUUGGAAGGUGCGGCUUGAGUCCGGGUCAGUGACGGCAUGAGGAAGAUGGGAAAGGGGAGGAAGAGGCGCUGACUGUUGACGGUUCUUAAGUAUCAAUUUUAAUUAUCAAAUAAACAAGAGAAAGGACCAAUAUGCAACCAACACCUAGAAUUAGGGUUUGAUCUGACAGAAUUCCACGAGUUUUGUUGUUUAUCUGUUUCUGCAGGGGGUUAUUAGGAAAUUAGGAAGAAAGGCCCACAUGUCGGGAUUACAUAGAGAUAUCAACGCACCGCACAAUUUUCUACCAUCUAGAAGACUCCAGAAGCCACGAGAAGAAAGCAGAGGCCGAAAGGGGCCAGGCCCAGGGCGCCCGCCCUGAGGACCUGGGCGCCCGUCCCCCUCUGGAUGUCAAUCAGGACUCUUUUCACACACGACGUUCCACCGACCUAAAGGAUCAAGGAUAACGUAGUACCACAUCGCCUACUGGACCAAAAAUGCACAGAGGAGGAGGACUAUAUAAGCAGACCCCUUGGCCUCUGGAGGGACGGAAGUUUAUCAUAGAGUUGAGGGGUGCCCUCGAAGGAAAACCUCUUCUCUAAAUAAAAUUUCUUUUUAGGCUUAGCAACCAAUGUAAGUAGAAAUAGAUCUUCUAGUUUCUACUAGAUUGAGAGAGAUAGAGUGGAGGUGUAGAUCGGAGGAAGCCCGGCCUGUCGGUGUCUACUUCGAGCUUGUACCUGCGGGAUCAAGUUCUCCUAACUCGAGGCUUGCUCCUAGGAUUAUUCAGUAUUUCGACUUCUAAAUUAUAGUAAGUUCUUAUUUUAUUGUUCUUUUGGUUUAUGAGUUUACUUUAAUCUCUUCGCGUAGAGUUUAGAGUAAUCAUCUCUAGCGUAGACGUGGUGUUUAAGCUAGGAUACUCAUAGAUAUUCCCUGACUAGCUAGACCGUGGUAGUAGCGAGGAACGUGACAUUUCCGAGUUACCUUUGUAGACCAUAUCUCGUUAGCAGGAAGGAUAGGGUUUAUAGGUGCGGGUUGAACAUCCUUUCUGGUGUCUAGAUUCCGUUAGCGUCCCCAAUAGAAUAGUAGAUCAUCCUUACCAAGGUUAGAAGGAGAUUACGGUUGUAGUAUUCUCUAUUUAUUACUCACAUCGAGAAACAUUCUUUGUUGCCUAAACGGUUAGUAGUAAUAGACCAGGUUAGUCAGAUGCACUCUUUCUCCUAGUGGUAAAAAUAUAAAUACGAUACUCUGGAUAACAUCCCGGGUGAAGUGCUCACCGAUAUCCGUGCGCUUGCGGAUCAAUUCCUUAUUGCGUUCCCAAAUAUCAACAAUCAUUUCUGGCGCCGUUGCCGGGGAGAAAGACGGUUUGCUGAGAUAACCUUGAGUCUUACUACUAGCUUGUAUCUAUACUUUUAUCUUUUCUUAUCUUUUAUAUUCUUUAUCCAUUUUCUUUACUCUUACCUUAUGGAAAACCAAGAUUCUAAAUCAAUCUACCAAUUUGCAACACCUUCGGAAACUGAUCUUUUACCAUGGGAGUCAUCACAGCCUAUCCAAACAUCCCAGUAUAAGUUAAGUUCUAGGUUGAUUGCCAUGAUUCAAAACCUAUCUUUUUCGGGAAAGGAAGACGAAAACCCUUGCCUUCAUAUUAGAGAUUUUGAGCAAACAUGUGAUUGUCUUUGCAUUGAAGGCAUUUCUGAUAAAACUUUACGUUGGAAGCUUUUUCCUUUUUCUUUAAGUAGAGAAGCUAGACAAUGGUACAGUCAGAAGGUAAGUCAACAACGAGGUGAAUGGGGAGUUUUACGAGCCAACUUUUGUCUAGAUUUUUAUUCCCUCGAUCGUAUCGGCGACCUUAGACUCGAAGUCCUAUCUUUUAAACAAAAAGAUAAUGAAACUUUGGGAAAAUCCUGGAAACGUUUUUCUGAUCUUUUAGAAUCUGGUCCAAACCUUAAUCUUGAAGACCCUGUUCUUUUAUUUCACUUUUUUCGAGGUCUUUAGAAAAAUCACAAACAAAUGCUACACACAAUGUCUAGAGGUUCUUUCUUUCGCAUCCCUACUGAUGAAGCUAGAGUGAUCCUAGAUAGAAUCCUAGAAGCUGAGAUGGAUAAUACCCUUCAUGAUGAAACCUACGAAACCGAAGUAGACACUCUGCCAAAUUCUUCAUCUACUUUAGCUAUCCCAGGUUCUGAGCCACAAGAGGAAGAAAUUCCACCACCGGACUUCAUGCUGGAUAUAGAAUCCGAUUUUUUUGCCGAUUUUGGAAACAUUUCAGACUACCAUUCUAUUGACAAACCCCAAAAUGGCCAGUUUAGCAUUUAUUUGCCAAGUGAAUAUCAAUUGAGAGAGCUUAUCUCAGUCAUGAGUAGCGAAUGGUUGGAGGAGUCAGAGCUUUCCUCUGAUGUGAUCCGUUUGGACACACCCUCUAUAACUAUACGCUGUGUUUAUAAUUCUGAUCGAUUUAAUGCUCUUUGUAAUCCUGUUGUGGGGAUCAACAUCAUGUCUGAAUCUUUUGCACUUAAACUAUUUAAAAAUCUUGUCUUAACCCCCACAACAAAGGUCAUAAUGGAAUCUUCGGGACGAUUAGUCCCCAGUCUUGGAAUUAUUAAUGUCCUACCUCUUACGGUAGAAGGCUCCAUGGUUCAUUUGAACUUCUAUAUCUUUGAUACAUGGGACUUCGACCUGUUGAUAGGACAACCUUUUAGAAGACUCCUUUAUGAAGGUCAUACUGGAAAGCUACACAUUUCUUUUGGAAAAACUUUUAAAAUCCCAAUAACAAUUUCACACUCUCUGAAUAAUAAGGCCGAGUCAUAUCUUUUGCCUGAUCCUAUGGAGGAGGUAAAGGCUGCAUCUCUUGAACUUUUAGAAGAAUCAGACUUAGAAGACGAAACUCCUUUCUUCAUAGAAGAAGAAGUCAAACCUUCUGAACCUGAACCCUUAGAUGAGUUUGCAGAAACACCUAGACCCCCCAUAGAGCUUAAAACUUUACCACCCGGUCUUACCUAUGCUUUCCUAAACAAUAAUCCAGAGUUUCCUCUGAUCAUUAGUGAUAAACUUACUCAGGAUCAAACUCUACGAUUAAUGACCAUUCUUAAGAAACAUCACUCAGUUUUUGGCUACUCACUCCAAGAUCUUACAGGAAUCAGUCCUAUGAUUUGUACCCAUCAUAUUCCAACAGAUCCUUCUGUUACACCUUCUCGAGAGCCCCAACGUAGACUUAACAACACUAUGAGAGAGGUAGUUAACAAGGAAGUUAUAAAGUUGCUGCAUGCAAGGAUUAUAUAUCCUGUGCCGCAUAGUGAGUGGGUGAGCCCAGUUCAAGUUGUGCCUAAAAAGGGAGGCAUGACUGUUAUUAUGAAUGAAAAGAACGAGCUAAUUCCGCAACGCACCGUCACAGGAUGGCGGAUGUGCAUAGACUAUAGAAAACUAAACAAAGCCAUGAGAAAGGAUCACUUUCCUUUACCUUUUAUAGAUGAGAUGCUAGAGCGAUUGCGAACCAUUCGUUCUUCUAUUUCUUAGAUGGAUAUUCAGGGUAUCACCAAAUCCCGAUCCAUCCUGAUGAUCAAAGCAAAACCACUUUUACAUGCCCAUAUGGAACUUAUGCUUACCGAAGAAUGUCUUUUGGGUUAUGUAAUGCACCAGCUUCUUUUCAAAGAUGCAUGAUGUUUAUAUUUUCUGAUAUGAUUGAAGAGAUUAUGGAAGUUUUCAUGGAUGAUUUCUCUGUUUAUGGAAAAACUUUUGAUAGUUGUCUUGAAAACUUAGACAAGGUUUUGCAAAGAUGUGAAGAAAAGCACUUAGUCCUUAAUUGGGAAAAAUGUCAUUUUAUGGUUAGAGAAGGAAUAGUGCUAGGACACCUAGUGUCUGAAAGAGGUAUUGAGGUAGACAAAGCUAAAAUUGAAGUAAUUACACAACUACCUCCACCUGUGAACAUAAAAGGAAUUCGAAGCUUUCUUGGCCAUGCUGGUUUUUAUCGUAGAUUCAUAAAAGAUUUUUCAUUUAUUGCUAGACCACUUACUCUUUUGCUAGCCAAGGAUGCUCCUUUCGAAUUUGAUGAUGCAUGUCUAACAUCUUUUAAUUUAUUAAAGAAAGCACUCAUCUCUGCACCAAUCAUUCAACCCCCUGAUUGGUCGUUGCCUUUUGAAAUUAUGUGUGAUGCUAGUGAUUAUGCUGUGGGGGCAGUUUUGGGACAAACUAAAAAUAAGAAGCAUCAUGCAAUUGCUUACGCCAGUAAAACUUUGACAGGAGCUCAACUUAAUUAUGCAACCACUGAAAAAGAGCUUCUGGCUGUUGUCUUUGCCAUUGAUAAAUUUAGAUCUUAUUUAGUUGGAGCUAAAAUAAUUGUUUACACUGAUCAUGCUGCACUAAAAUAUUUGCUCACUAAAAAAGAUGCUAAACCUCGCUUGAUUAGAUGGAUCUUAUUACUCCAAGAAUUUGACAUAGACAUAAAAGAUAAAAAGGGAGUAGAAAAUUCUGUUGCAGAUCACUUGUCUAGAAUGUAUUUUAAGAGUCCACAGGAAACCCCCAUCAAUGAUUCACUCCGGAACGACAUGCUCUACGGGAUUAACAGGUCUGACCCCUGGUAUGCAGAUAUUGUUAAUUUUAUGGUUUCAGGGUAUGUACCACCAGGAGCAAACAAGAAGAAGCUUAUUCAAGAAAGUCGUUCACAUAUAUGGGAUGAGCCAUACCUCUUCCGUGUAUGCUCUGAUGGCUUACUUAGGAGAUGUGUGACCACUGAGGAAGGAUGGAAGAUCAUCGACAGAUGUCAUUCAUCACCAUAUGGAGGUCAUUAUGGAGCAUUCCGUACACAUUCAAAGAUCUGGCAGUGUGGAUUCUACUGGCCUACAAUGUAUGAAGACACGAAGCAAUAUAUCAGAAGAUGUGGGCCAUGUCAAAGGCACGGAAACAUAAAUACAAUGGAUGCAAUGCCACUCACCAACAACCUUCAGAUUGAGCUCUUUGAUGUCUGGGGAAUAGACUAUAUGGGUCCAUUUCCUCCAUCAAAGAAGUGUGAGUACAUCUUGGUGGCAGUAGACUACGUCUCCAAGUGGGUAGAGGCAUUACCUUGCAAGCAUGCCGACAACAUCAGUUCAAAGAGGAUGUUUGAAGAAAUUAUAUUUCCAAGAUUCGGAGUCCCCGGAGUAGUGAUAAGUGAUGGAGGAGCACACUUCAUCGAUAAACGCUUCAAGCAAUAUCUAUCAAAACAUGGAAUCCGUCACAACGUCGCUACCCCCUAUCAUGCCCAGACAAGUGGCCAAGCAGAGACUUCCAACAAACAAAUCAAGAAUAUUCUUCAGAAGACAGUAAAUGAAAUGGGAACGGCGUGGAAAGACAAGUUACCCGAUGCACUCUGGGCAUACCGAACAGCAUACAAGACCCCAAUUGGAAUGUCUCCAUACCAAUUAGUGUACGGGAAGACUUGCCACCUACCUGUUGAACUAGAGUUCAAAGCACACUGGUCCAUAAAGAGAUGGAAUAUGGACCUAGAUGUUGCUGGAGAUCAUAGAAGAAUGCAACUAUCAGAAUUGGAAGAAUGGCGAGAGAAAGCAUAUCACAAUUCAAAGAUCUACAAAGAAAGAGUCAAAAGGUGGCAUGACAAGAGAAUCAAGAAGAAGGAGUUCACACCCGGAGAUAAGGUAUUACUUUUUAAUUCCAGGGUGAGGCUCUUCGGGCAUGGAAAACUCCGGAGCAAAUGGGAAGGACCAUUCAAGGUAAUUAAUUCAUCAUCCCACGGAGCUAUCACACUUCAAAAUGACAAAGGUACGUUAUUCAAGGUAAAUGGUCAACGUCUUAAAUUAUUUUUAGAGCCCAAUAAAGAAUUAGAAGAAAUAGACGUAGUCCAUUUUUACCUUCCCAUGGAGAAUUAGAGCCCGACCUUUUUAAUCUGAUGUUUAUGGGCCAUAUAUAUUUUUCUAAAUAAUUUUGCAUCUAGAACCACGCUCGAGAAAGUGGGCCCACAGAGGGGCCAGAGAGAGGGCGGGCACCCAGAUCAGGUGGGCGGCCGCCCAGCUCCUGUUCCCCCUCAGUCCCGAUUUUCUCUGUUAUGGAAAAUACACUUAUGGUAAUCCGAAUAAUCCCUCAGAUGGAAAGUUUCGCACGCACAUCGAUGGGAGCAACCCGAACAACCCCUAGAGGCACUUUUUGACCCCUAUAUAAACAGACCCCCGACAUCAGUUUUCAAACACCAAACCACCAAGCCUUCUCUUCUUCUUCUUCAAUUAUAGCUUGAUUAGUUCCUUGCUGCUCCAAUGGCCAAGAAGUUCCAUGAUGAUUGGGAAGUCGUCCCCUUCAACCUCAACAUGGAGCCUGCGGAAGACCCCGACGCCCGUGCUCUCGUCCCGGCCAACACAGAGCGACAGCUAGAAGCCAUGCCAUUACGCCAACGCAGCUCCGCCCAAUCCUACCAUGCUCAACCAGUUCUCACCGCACCGCCACAACCCCUACUCCUCAAGGGAUCAUCAUCCAAGACGAAGACCACCAUCAAGGUGCCAACCGACACGAGGAUCCUUCCACCUAGACCCAAUGAGAGGGUCGUUGGAGUCAAGACCAACCGGAGCGGCGAGAUCAGCAGCAUACGCUACACUACGGAGGAGGAAAGACCUUAUUUCGAAGGGAUUAGAGCAGCCAAAGUCCGUUUCAUCCCUCCAAAGGCAGCCCCGAAGCACGCUCUCAAUGCUUUUGAGACACCUCCCAAGCGUCGCAAGACUAUAGUAGAUAUUGAUGAGGACGUUCGCAGGCUAGACAAAGUUAUCAUAGACCUCCAGUCCUCGAUUAAUUCCCUCACUAGGCAGCUCUCUAACCACAACACCGUUAUACUAGACCUUAGGCAUGAUCUUGCUAGUGCCAAUAAGAAGAUUAAGGAAUUAGAGCGCCGCUAAGUUAUCUAGAUUAGACCUUGAGGCAAUGCAUCUUAGUUAUCAAUCUUUAAAUUCGGUUUAGGUUUACUAUUAUUGUCAGUUUAUCAUCAGUUUGCUACUAUCGUCAGUUUGCUGAUAGUUAUUUGUAAUAAAUGCCUCAAGAUUAAUAAAGAGUAUUAUUAUUAUUAUUAUUAUUAUUAUUAUUAUUAUUAUUAUUAUUAUUAUUAUUAUUAUUAUUAUUAUUAUUAUUAUUAUUAUUAUUAUUAUUAUUAUUAUUAUUAUUAUUAUGUUUUGUGUGUCUCUAUUUUAUUUUUUGUGCAAGAAAGCAGAAACAAGUAUAGGGGGAGAUCCCUCGACAUGCCAAACACAACUUCGACUACACCACUCCACGAGUCAGGUACACACUCUGCACACUUUACUUUACACAUACACAUAUCUUGGAUUAUGCAGAAUACUGUUUCCGACAUGAUAAAUUAAAAAGAUUAAAAUAUUUCUAAUCAUGAUUAAACUCACUCUGUGAUAUUUUCUGAAACAUGCAAUUAUUGAAAAUCAUUUUAAAACCCUGUGUUACUUAAGACAGUAUGGAAUGUGAGAUGGUAGAGUAUGAGUUUCUUAUUCUUAAUAUCAUUGUUGCUUGGAGAAUUUAUUUCAAAAUCUUCAAAAUUCUAGCUACCAUCCUCAGUGUUUUAUAUGCCUAAUAAAACUGAAAAUAUUAAUUAUGAUUAUAAAAGCUAUCUACUGUAUUGAGUUUGUUCAAAAUAAGUUAGACCCUUGUUGAGAGAUUUAUCAUGCUCCUAAGAUAAAGACAUUUAUUCAGAAAGAUUCACUCUUCCGAAGUAUUAUUGCAUUAGAGGCAUGGGCUAUGCAAAAAUAAAGAUAUCUCGAGGAAAUAAAAAGGAGCAAGUGCUCGACAACCUCGCAGAAAAAAUGGACAAGUGUCCGGCAGUAGAAUUAGGGGUACCUCGGUAUCCACUUAAAAAAAAGAAAAAAAAAAGAAAAAUGAUAGCCCAUGGUCCCUCUAAUAAGCAAUAUGCCAGCAAGAGUUGACAAAGAUUUUAAUUUCCAAAUUCUUUGAUCUAAGAGUAUGACAUUCCCCUCCUCGGAUCCCGUUUUGAUCAGGCAAUAAAUACAAAGGUAAGUAUGCUUGAGAAUUUUUGCAAUUUAAAACAACCUCAGUGAGAUAUGUAAAAGAUAAUGAGUGAUCUGAGAGAACCUAUGAAGAUAAAAGGUAUGCUAACUUUCUUUUCAAAAAUAUACAAAAACUCCAAGUAACAGGAUUGAGAAGAAAGGAUCUUUACUCUUAACCAUAUACUUCCCUGACUAUAGUACACGGUGGAUUUUAACACCCUGCAGUUAUGAAAAGAAUGUUUUACCCCAGAUAUUGUUCUUAACCAUCCUUUUCUCGAGGACGAGUAAAAGCCUAAGUAUGGGGGUAUUUGUUGACGGUUCUUAAGUAUCAAUUUUAAUUAUCAAAUAAACAAGAGAAAGGACCAAUAUGCAACCAACACCUAGAAUUAGGGUUUGAUCUGACAGAAUUCCACGAGUUUUGUUGUUUAUCUGUUUCUGCAGGGGGUUAUCAGGAAAUUAGGAAGAAAGGCCCACAUGUCGGGAUUACAUAGAGAUAUCAACGCACCGCGCAAUUUUCUACCAUCUAGAAGACUCCAGAAGCCACGGGAAGAAAGCAGAGGCCGAAAGGGGCCAGGCCCAGGGCGCCCGCCCUGAGGACCUGGGCGCUCGCCCCCCUCUGGAUGUCAAUCAGGACUCUUUUCGCACAUGACGUUCCACCGACCUAAAGGAUCAAGGAUAACGUAGUACCACAUCGCCUACUGGACCAAGAAUGCACAGAGGAGGAGGACUAUAUAAGCAGACCCCCUGGCCCCUGGAGGGACGGAAGUUUAUCAUAGAGUUGAGGGGUGCCCUCGAAGGAAAACCUCUUCUCUAAAUAAAAUUUCUUUUUAAGCUUAGCAACCAAUGUAAGUAGAAAUAGAUCUUCUAGUUUCUACUAGAUUGAGAGAGAUAGAGUGGAGGUGUAGAUCGGAGGAAGCCCGGCCUCUCGGAGUCUACUCCGAGCUUGUACCUAUAGGAUCAAGUUCUCCUAACCCGAGGCUUGCUCCUAGGAUUCUUCAGUAUUUCGACUUCUAAAUUCUAGUAAGUUCUUGUUUUAUUGUUCUUUUGAUUUAUGAGUUUACUUUAAUCUCUUCGCGUAGUGUUUAGAGUAAUCAUUGCUGGCGUAAACGUGGUGUUUAGGCUAGGGUACUCAUAGAUAUUCCCUGACUAGCUAGAUCGUGGUAGUAGUGAGGAACGUGACAAUUCCGACUUACCUUUGCAGACCAUAUCUCGUUAGCAGGAAGGAUAGGGUUUAUAGGUGCGGGUUGAACAUCCUUUGUGGUGUCUAGAUUCUGUUAGCCUCCCCAAUAGAACAGUAGAUCAUCCUUACCAAGGUUAGAAGGAGAUUACGGUUGCAGUCUUCUCUAUUUAUCACUCACAUCGAGAAACAUUCUUUGUUGCCUAAAGGGUUAGUAGUAAUAGACCAGGUUAGUCAGAUGCACUCUUUCUCCUAGUGGUAAAAAUAUAAAUACGAUACUCUGGAUAACAUCCCGGGUGAAGUGCUCACCGAUAUCCAUGCGCUUGCGGAUCAAUUCCUUAUUGCGUUCCUAAAUAUGAACACUGACUCGUGGGGCCCGGCUGUCAGCCACCGAACGGGGAGAGGCGCACGGCUGUCUGGCCACUGGGCCGCUCACGGGCCGAGAGAGGGAAUAGGCCGAACGAGGGGGAGAAAAGGGGGAAGGGUGCUGGGCUGCGGGGAAGCUGGUUGGGCUGAGCGCGGGGGAGAGGAAAAGCUGGGCUGCAGCCUUGCGGCCAGCUCCCAGGGGUUUCUCCCCUUUAACCUUUUAUUUUUAUUUUCUUUUUCAAAAACAUUUUCCAACUAGAAUUCUGUGCACAAAUUAUUUCUAUCCAAAAGCAAAGCAAGCAAAACAUAAAAUAUGCUCCAGCAUGAAUGCAUAACCAUGUUUCUAAUCCUAGGAUGAAUUUUAAUCACCAUAAAAUUAUUUAUUUGCUAGAUUCAAAAUGCUCACCAAAAAUACUUAAAUAAAUCAAUUUAAUUCCUGUUAAUUGAAAUCAAAUUUUUGGGUGUUACAAACUCUACCCUCCUUUAAAAGAAUCUCGUCCUUGAGAUUGAACGGUGCUUACUCAAACAAAUACGAAUACGAUUUCCUUAGAUCAUCCUCUCUUUCCCAAGUUGCCUCUACUUCGGAAUACCGAUUCCACUACACUUUGCACAUUCUAAUUACCCGACUUUUGGUGACUCUCUCAGCUGUCUCCAAUAUUCUGAUCGGAUAAUCUUCAUAAGUGAGAUCACCUUUAACAGAAAGCUCUUCCAAUGGUAUUUGCUCCUCAGGUAUACGCAAACACUUCUUAAGUUGUGACACAUGGAACACAUCAUGCACACCAGAUAAACUUUCAGGCAACUCUAACUGAUACGCUACUUCUCCACACCUUUGCAAAAAUUUAAACGGACCGACAUACCUUGGAGCUAGCUUUCCUUUCAUAUUAAACCUCUUCACACUCCGCAUAGGUGACACUUUCAGAUAGACAUAAUCACCUUCCUCGAAAGCUAGUUCUCUCCUUCGUGUAUCUGCAUAACUUUUCUGACGAGACUGAGCAACUCUCAGAUUAUCCCGGAUAGUCUGCACUUGUUGUUCUGCAUUUCUAAGCACAUCCAUACCAAACACCUGAGUCUCCCCAGUUUGAUUCCAAAACAAAGGUGUUCUACACUUACGACCAUAUAAUGCUUCAAACGGUGCCAUUUUAAGACUUAGCUGAUAACUAUUGUUGUAGGAAAACUCUGCAUAUGGCAAACUCUUAUCCCAACUGGUUCCAUACUGCAAAGCACAAGCUCUUAACAUAUCCUCCAGUAUUUGAUUGAUCCUCUCAGUCUGUCCAUCUGUCUGUGGAUGAUAUGCUGUACUAAAAUUCAACUUUGUCCCUAAGGAAUCAUGCACUGCUUUCCAAAAAGUAGAGGUAAACUGAGUGCCUCUAUCAGAUACAAUCUUCUUAGGCACUCCAUGCAAACAAACUAUCCGCUCCAUAUACAACUCUGCUAGUCGAGCUCCUGAAUCAGUGGUUUUGACUAGCAAGAAGUGAGCAACUUUAGUCAAUUGAUCCACUAUUACCCAUAUUGAAUCAUAUCCUCUUUGUGUACGUGGUAAACCUACUAUAAAAUCCAUACCCACUUCUUCCCACUUCCAUUCUGGAAUCUUCAUUGGUUGCAACAAUCUAGCUGGCCUCUGAUGUUCAGCUUUCACUCGCUGACAAGUAUCGCACAAAGCAACAUACUCAGCUACAUCUCUUUUUAAUCCAUACCACCAAUACUUCAGUUUUAGAUCUAGAUACAUCUUGGUACUACCAGGAUGAAUGGAAUAUGCUGACUCAUGAGCCUCUCUUAGAAUCAUAUCACGAAUAGCCUUCACUUCAGGAACACAUAUCCUUUUUCCAAACCACAGUACACCAUUGUCAUCUGUUCUGAAUCCUGGUGCUUUGCCUAGUACCACAUUCUGUGCUAUCUCCUUUAGCUUCUCAUCCUCCAAUUGUCCUUUCAAUAUCUCUUCCUCUAAAGUAGGAGUGACCUCAAUUUCCAUAGCAUUCACUACAAUUCCCAAGUUCAAAUAUGCAAAUUCAGCACACAACUCCUCAGAUUCAGGUGUCGCCCGAAGCUCAUUAGCAUAUUUCUUUCUGGUAAGUGCAUCAGCCACGACGUUCACCUUUCUAGGAUGAUAAUGCACUUCCAAAUCAUAAUCCUUUAUCAGUUCCAACCAUCUUCGUUGCCUCAAGUUCAGAUCUGUCUGGGUGAAGAUAUACUUUAGACUCUUAUGAUCAGUAUAUAUGUCACUCUUAUGCCCAAUCAAAUAGUGUCUCCAAAUCUUCAAUGCAUGGACCACAGCUGCUAACUCUAGAUCAUGAGUAGGAUAAUUCAGUUCAUGUUUCCUCAACUGUCUAGAUGCAUAAGCAACAACUCUACCUUCUUGCAUAAGAACACAACCCAAACCCAGACGAGAAGCAUCACAAUAGAUAGAGAAACUCUUACUCAGAUCUGGCAAUACCAACAUAGGUGCAGUAGUCAAUCUCUUCUUAAACUCCUCAAAACUAGCUUGACACUUGUUAGACCAUACAAACUUAGCAUUCUUCUCCAACAGAGCAGUCAUAGGCUUUGCAAGUUUUGAGAACCCUUCAAUGAAUCUACGAUAGUAACCAGCUAAACCAAAAAAACUUUGAAUUUCACUUACAUGUGUAGGUGGUUUCCAAUUCAGCACAUCUUUCACCUUACUAGGAUCCACUGCAAUACCACCAUUAGAGACAAUAUGACCAAGAAAAGAAACUUCUUCCAACCAAAACUCACAUUUACUACGCUUAGCAUAUAGCUUAUGUUCUCUCAGUUUCUGUAAGACUAACCAGCAUGUUCUUCCUUGGUUUUAGAGAAUACCAGAAUAUCAUCAAUAAAGACCACCACAAACUUAUCAAGAUACUCCAUAAAUACUUUAUUCAUCAUGUACAUAAAGUAAGCUGGUGCAUUGGUCAAACCAAAAGACAUAACUGUAUACUCAUACAACCCAUACCUUGUCGUGAAAGCUGUCUUUGGUAUAUCUGAAUUCCGAAUCUUCAAUUGAUGUUAACCAGAACGCAAAUCAAUCUUAGAGAACACACAAGCACCUCUUAGCUGAUCAAACAAGUCAUCAAUCCUAGGCAAGGGAUAUUUGUUCUUGAUAGUGACCUCAUUAAGUGACCGAUAAUCAACACACAUCCUCUGAUUACCAUCCUUCUUAUCAACAGAGAUAACUGGUGCACCCCAUGGUGAUGAACUAGGACGAAUGAACCCUUUAUCUUGCAAUUCCUUAAUUUGUUUCUUAAGUUCUUCUAGUUCAUUAACCCCCAUUAUAUAUGGUCUUUUAGCUAUGAGUGCAGUACCAGGUAGUAAUUCAAUAAUAAAUUCAAUGUCUCGGUCAGGUGGCAUACCUGGCAAUUCAUCUGGAAAGACAUCCGGAAACUCAUCCACUACUAGACUCUGAGGAUCAACAUCAUCGUUCAGUUGGUUCACUUUAGCUGUGAGUGGUGCUUGCACUGUUACAUCAACACUGAUUCGUUCUCCCUUUGGUGUUGUCAGAGCCACUACUCUCUCUUUGCACUUAAUAUCUAUCUCAUAUUGUUUCAUCCAAUCCAAACCCAAGAUCACAUCUAUGCCUGAAGUUCUCAUAACCAUGGGACUGAUAGGAAAAUCUACCCCCUUAAAGAAAGACUCGCUGAGGGGCAACAAUAAGAAACUGGUAUAGUCCGACCUGGUGAAUUUACUAGCAUAGAGGUUUUCAUGGCAACUACUAGAAUUCUAUGAACUCUAACAAAUGCUUGUGAAAUGAAUGUAUGCGAAGCUCCAGAAUCAAAUAAAACUAUAGCAGGGAUAGAGUUGAUGGUGAACGUACCCAUCAUAAUCUCUGGUCCCUCCUGAACUGUCUCUGUAGCCACAUUAUUCACUAUUGCCGCAUAAGCAGUAGACUUCUGGUUGCUGUUCGGCUUGUUGAGCUUCUCCAGGCAAUCAUAUGACAUAUGUCCCUCCUACCCACAAUGGAAACACCUUAUAGGAGUCUUAGAAGCACUUCUUUUCAUAGAGGUGGCAUUUGAGUUCCCUGAGCGGGGUGUCUGCUGUCCAUUCUACUGUUGGUUAUGAUUACGCUGCUGGAAUGGAGGACGCUGAUUCCCACCUUGUGAUUGAUUCCGGAAACGCUGAGGUUGUUGGUUGCGGUUCAACUGGCUAACUAGUCCCUGGAACCUUUGUUGAUGGCCUUGUUGAGAACUGAAACGCUGACGGUUGUUGCUCCCAGAACCUUGUGCCAGCAUCCUUCUCUUCUUAUCCUACCCCUUGCGCAUGUUGUCCAACACUAUAGCCCGAUUCACCAGAGCUUGGAAGGUAGGAUAAGAGUUUCCUGCCAGUUGCAACCUGAGUUCAUAGUAUAGGCCUUUCAUGAACAAGCGCUACUUAUCAGCAUCUUCUCUGACUUCAUUUGGAGCAUAGCGGGCCAACUGUUCAAAUGUGUCAUGAUAUUCUACCACAGUCAUGGAGCCCAUCCUGAGAGAUCUGAAUUCUUCUUGCUUGAGCUCCAUCAUUCCCUCAUUUAUAUGCUGAGCUCUGAAGUCUCUACAAAAUUCCAGCCAUGUGACAGGAGGAGCAUUGUUGGGACGAGUAGCUUGAUAUGACUCCCACCAUAUCUGAGCUGCCCCCUGAAGCUGUCCAGAAGUAUACAACACCUUCUCCAAGUCAUUGCACUAUGCUAUGUUCAGUUGCCUCUCCACAGCACGUAACCAAUCAUCUGCCUCUAUAGGAUCAGCUGAGUGUGUAAAUACCUGAGGUCUUCCCUUCAUAAACUCCCCACGCUUAUCUCUCACAUGAACAGGUGGCGGUGGUGGUGGAGGUUGCUGCUGUAGGUGCUGCAUGAAAACGUGCAUCAUCUCAUUCUGAGUUUGCAUGAGCUCUUCCACAGUAAUUGGAUCAUUGGCACCCAUGCCACGGCCUCUGCUUCUGCCUCUUCCUCGUGCUGCCAUCUACAUUCCGAGGUAUAUAAACAUAUCUCAGUAAUAUCCAACAUGAUAAAUACAAGAGAUCGUUGAAUCUGAAUUUUUCUGGACGACAUCCAACAUUAGCAGUCCAGAAAGUCAGUCAUAUCUCAAGUUCCAGAAUUCAAAAUGAUACAUUCUGUACACCGUUGAAAAGAUAAAGAAAUUAUCUACAACUUUCAUUUAGACCAUAUUAACAGAUUCCAUCAUUAAAUUAACCAAAACUGGGCACAACCGAAACUGUUCCAGAAUUCCAGACUGCACAGAACCUCAAAUUUAAACUGCCAUAACUCACGGCUCAUAACAGAUAAUAAUGUCAUUCUUGAGGCAUUGGAAAGAUAUGAAAGUCUACUUGUUCCCAGAAAAAUAUGAUGAACUUUUCACAAACAGAAUUUGAGAUGUACUAGAUUUGUUACAGACUGCUCCAGAAAACAGCAAAAGAUAGAAACAGAAUUUUAACCAAACCCAACUAUUUAGUUCAUUAAUCCUUAUGCCUUAAGCCUAUAACUAAAUGAAAUUGUAGAGAAAAUCCACUAGAUGAUUACACUCAUUACAAAGAUCUAAAUCAAGCAUAAGCAUAAUAACAACCAAACCAAGCAUCAAAAGUUCACACUUCAAGCAUUGACUUAACUUGCGGUACUAUCGUUCUCUUCUUGUUAAGGGUAAAGAUCCUAUAACUCCUAUUUCAAAGACGCUAGAAGGUGGUGAGAAAAAUUUCUAAUAGCAUAUCAAGCAAGGAGUGAGGAUGAGAACAAGUCUUUAAAAUAAGCAUCAAGGUGAAGAUGAAUAGCAAUGAAAAGGAUAUAGUAUAGGAGAAAAUAUCAAGGUUUAUUGAACAAGGAUUUUAUAGCAAUUUUAAAACCUUAAGACGGCCAAUUUCUAACUAGGCUUACGUCCGAUAGUCAACAAAGCUCUGAUACCAAUCUAUCACACCCAUAUUUUAAGAACAAAAUAGGAUGCAUAAAAGACUCAUAUGUGCCCCAGAAACAGUCGCACACAUAAGUAGACAAAUCUCAAAUGUACCAUUGCAGUGUUUAUUACAUAGCAGAACAAUAAUAAAUCACAUAGUCUUAUACAAGAAUGAUAAUAAGAUUAAACAGUGCCCUCGAUGGAAGCACCACACAGAGACACUGUUGACUGGUUGACUCCAAGCCUAAUACUCAUAACGGUAGUCCUCAUUCCAAUCAUCAUCAUUAGCAUAACCUGGGAUGUUGGGAAAUUGCAAGAGUGAGCACAUAUCGUACUCAACAAGUAUAACCAGGGGUUCAUGAGGCUCAAAUAGCUGACACUGGUUUGACUGCAUUUAGCUUUUAUAUGUAGAUAGCAUGUUUAUAUUUAGAUAGCCAAUAUCAAGGUAGCAUAGUAAAUCUCACAACCACAUGAUCAAUGUAUACAAGAAUAAAGAAUAACACAUAUAAACAACAUAAUAAAUCAUCAUUUAUCAUCAUUAAUCAUAUUCAUCAGUGUCCAUCUAUUCCGUCAGUUUUCCGGGCCGCCUGUAUCCGUGGGCACGACUAGUAUACUAGAUUUAACACUCUGCAAAGGUUGUACAUCUUUACCCAUGAGUCAUGAUUUACCCUUUCGCCCGAGGUAGCUAAUCUCUUAACCCCCUUCAUAGGGAUGUCGGCAGGGAUCACUAUGAAGCCUUUCAAAAGUUCGUCUAACAUGUUAGGGCCGCAAGGUUUCCUUCGCGCGCAGAUAUAGGUACCCCCCUUCCAAAUGGCACAAUGACGCGUAGCCUAUACACAUAAGCACAGGGGCUCGCACUAUACCCGAAACGGUUCACACUACUACAGAAUGAGGCAUUGGUCGAUGCCCAAAAUGGCCAAAAACCUCGGCCUUUUUGCGGCCCGGGGUUAAAGGCCCCUUUAACACCGGUUCGUAACACGAACCGGUGCUAAAGGGUCCUACCCAACGGCUACUGACGGGUGCUGUCAGGGCAGGGACCCUUGAGCACCGGUUCGUGUUACCAACCGGUGCUAAAGGGUCCCCUUUAGCACCGGCCAGUGCCACGGGCCGAGGCAAAGCCUUUAGCACCGGUUUCAAACACAAACCGGUGCUAAAGGGCGACCCUUUAGCACCGUUUUUUUCCCUCAACCGGUUCUAAAGCUCUGUUUUAUAUGCCUGCCUUCUCCUCCCCUCUGCCCAUUUGAAACCGAGAGCACCAUUGUUGUUCUUGGAGCUUCUUCUUCCUUGUUCUUCAUUUGUUCUUCAUCUCUGACGCCCAUCGUUGAUCUUCUUCGACUCCGUCAUCGUUUCUUCGUGCUUGGAGGUGACUAACUUUUGUCUUUCUUGUCUUUUUCAUGUUGUUUUUGGCUUGUGAUGUUCCCAUUAUUUUUAGCUCAAAUCCACUUUGUUAUUUUGAAUCAUUCAUAUGAAUUAGUAUCCAUAUAUAUAUAUCAUAUUUCAUGGUUGACCUAGUAUUAAUGUAGUUUGCAAGAAUGAAUUAUAGUAUCUUUUAUGAUCUUAGAAAGUAGGAUAGUUCAAAUUAAUUGGUUUGUUAAUAUCACUUGAUUUAUUUUUAUUACUACAUAAUGUCCAUUGUAUAAUUUAGAAGAUUUGUUGAAGUAACUAGACAAAUAAAGGAUAUUAUUAGGUUCUUCUUUAAUCAUACAUGUUUACUAGUAAAUGUGAAAUUUAUAAUUGUUUAAAAAUUGAGUAUGGAUAGUAGAUGGCAACCGUGACCGGGUCUUCGGUCUCUCAACGGGUUCAAAUGCGAUACCGGCCGGAACUCCCUCUCAUUACUUGUGGCAAGUGUGGGCAGAAGAUUGUGAUGGAGUACAAAGUGUCGAAAGAGGGAGUAAAUAAGGGUCGUAUAUUCUACAAGUGUCCAGAUCGUAAUGUGAGUUAUUUCCAGACAUUUGCUUAUAUAUGUGCAUAUUUUUUUAAAUGAUAUUAAUUAAACUUUUGAUUCUCUCUUUUAAUUUCAGUGGGACGGUACCGGCGGAUGUACGGGUUGGUACUGGGAGGAAGAAUACAUUGAACACAUUAAGAAAUCUUUUGCAUAGGUGGUUGAGGCUGAAGGUGGUGAGGCAGUGAGCCGACGAAAGGAGUUCAAUGAUUUUGAUCAAGCGAAUGAUCUAUCUAAUAGUUGGGAUCGGACGCGAAAUAAUUAUGUUGCUUAAGUGCAUUUUAGUUUUGGUUUUUUUAGUGCUAGUUGCGAUUGUAUUUGUUGUAGCCAAGCUUUCCUGAAUUAAUCAACUAUGUAUCUUAGACAUGUUGUGCAAUAAGAUGAGAAACUAUAUGUGUGCAUGGUUUUCAUAAUAUAUAUGUUAUAUUUAAUGCAGAUGGUAACACGUAAUUGGAUGUAUAAUGCCGAUCGGUGCUCCGAAGAGUUCAUUAAUGGCGUGCACUAUUUCUUAAGUGUGACUGAGACAAAUAAGAGGGACGGUUUCAUGUGCUGUCCAUGUGCCGUGUGCAAGAAUUUGACGGAAUAUUCUAACUCAAGAACUCUUCAUUCACACUUAUUAAAGUCUGGUUUCGUACCAAACUAUAUUUGUUGGACCAAACAUGGAGAAAGCGGGAUUAUAAUGGAUGAAGGUGAAGAAGAAGAAGAAGAAUUGGACCAUGCCAAUAUUAUUGCUCAGUACGGUGGCUUCAAUGAUGUUGCAAUGGGGGGAGAUAAUGAAGAAGAGGUAGCGGCAGAAGAUGAUCGGGGCGAUGAUGCUUUUGGUGAUGCCAUCCGUGAUGCACAAAGAGAAUGUGAAAGUGAUAAAGAGAAAGCCAAGUUCGAGCGCAUGCUAGAGGACCACAGGAAAUCGCUAUAUCCCACCGCUGAAGAGGGGCAAAAAAAGCUGGGUACCACACUAGAAUUACUGCGAUGGAAGGCAAACAAUGGUACAUCUGACAAGGCAUUUGGGCAGUUAUUGAAGAUCAUAAAAAAGAUGCUUCCAAAAGGCAACGAAUUGCCCACCACUACGUAUGAAGCAAAACAGGUUGUCUGCCCUUUGGGAUUAGAAAUCCAGAAGAUACACGCAUGUUCUAAUGACUGCAUCCUCUACCGUGGGGAGGAAUACAAGAAUUUGGAUGUAUGUCCAGUAUGUAAAGCAUCACGGUAUAAGAUUAGACGAGAUGAUCCUGGCGAUGUUGAGGGUGAAGAACGUCAUAGGAAGAAAAUUCCUGCCAAGGUUAUGUGGUAUGCUCCUAUAAUACCACGAUUAAAACGUCUGUUCAGAAAUAAGGACAAUGCAAAGUUGUUGCGGUGGCAUAAAGAAGACCGUAAGAUAGACAAUAUGCUGAGACACCCUGCCGAUGGAUCCCAGUGGAGAGCGAUAGACAGAGAAUUCCUAGAUUUUGCAGAUGAUGCUAGAAACUUGUGGUUCGCCUUAAGUACAGAUGGUAUGAAUCCUUUCGAUGAGCAGAGCAGUAGUCACAACACUUGGCCAGUUACUCUAUGUAUCUACAACCUUUCUCCAUGGCUAUGCAUGAAGCAGAAGUUUAUUAUGAUGUCGGUGCUUAUCCAAGGACCGAAGCAACCUGGCAAUGACAUAGAUGUCUACCUAAGGCCAUUAGUUGAGGAACUUCAACUUUUAUGGAGCAAACCAGGAGUUCGCGUGUGGGAUGAGUACAAACAAGAGCACUUUGACCUGCGAGCAUUGCUGUUUGUAACAAUCAAUGAUUGGCCAGCUCUGAGUAAUCUUUCAGGCCAGUCAAACAAGGGAUAUAAUGCAUGCACACAUUGUUAUGAAGACCUUGACUGUGUAUUUUUGAAAAAAUAUCGAAAGGUCGUGUACCUUGGCCACCGUCGGUUUCUUCCUGUGAACCACCCAGUACGAAAGAAAGGCAAGCAUUUUAAAGGCAAGGCAGACCACCGGACCAAACCUCUCAAUCGAACCGGGGAUGAUGUACUCGAAAUGGUCAAGGAUAUAAAAGUGGUAUUUGGAAAGGGACGAGGCAGCGAACCUAUUGCCAAGGAUGCUAAGGGACACGUACCCAUGUGGAAGAAGAAAUCCAUAUUUUGGGAGCUACCUUACUAGAAUGUCCUGGAGGUCCGCAACGCCCGACGUGAUGCAUCUGACAAAGAAUCUUUGUGUGAACUUGCUCGGAUUCAUGGGUGUCUACGGGAAGUCUAAGGAUUCACUUGAAGCACGACAAGACUUGCAGCGCAUGAAAGAACGAGACAACCUGCAUCUAGAAAAGACAGAUGAUGGACGUCAUUACUUAAGCCCUGCUAGCUACACUCUGAGCAAAGAAGAGAAGGAAAGCAUGUUUGAAUGUCUUAGUAGCAUCAAGGUCCCAUCUGGAUUCUCCUCCAAAAUCAAGGGAAUAAUUAAUGUGCCAGAGAAGAAAUUCCUGAACUUGAAGUCCCAUGACUGUCACGUUCUAAUGACGCAAUUGCUGCCAGUGGUUUUAAGAGGAAUUUUACCUCCACACGUACGUCUGGCCACCGUAAAGCUAUGUGCAUUCCUCAAUGCAAUUUCUCAGAAGGCAAUCAAUCCAGAGCAACUAGCUACUCUGCAAAAUGGUGUCGUUCAAUGUCUCGUCAGCUUUGAGUUGGUGUUCCCUCCAUCCUUCUUCGAUAUCAUGACACACCUCCUAGUUCAUCUGAUAAAAGAGAUUCGUAUUCUCGGUCCUAUGUUCCUACACAACAUGUUCCCCUUCGAGAGAUUCAUGGGUGUCCUAAAGAAAUAUGUGUAUAGUCGUUCCCGGCCAGAAGGAAGCAUUGCCAAGGGCUACGGAACAGAGGAGGUCAUAGAGUUCUGUGUUGACUUUAUUCCAGACCAUGACCCAAUUGGCAUUCCUGAAUCUUGACACGAGGGCAGACUCAGAGGAAAGGGAACACUUGGGAAGAAAACAUAUAUUGGUAGGGAGACGAUUACUUCAAUAAAGCACACUACACAGUUCUCCAGAACUCCUCAUUGGUGGAACCAUAUGUUGAGGUACACAAAGAUUUCCUACGGUCCCAGUGGCCCGGGAAGAAUGAAGCUUGGAUAAUGCGUCAGCACAUGGAAACUUUUGGCGAUUGGUUGCGCAAAAAAUGUCAAGGUGAUGAAAACAUUGAUGAGCAGCUUUAUUUGUUGGCCAGGCAACCAUGAUGGCAUGUCCUCACGUACAAAGGGUACGAGAUAAAUGGUAACACAUUUUACACAGUUGGCCAAGAUAAAAGGAGCACCAACCAAAAUAGUGGUGUACGCGUGGAUGCCACGGAUCCAAAUGGGAACAGACAAACAUAUUAUGGACGCAUAGAAGACAUAUGGGAACUAGUCUAUGCAGCUAAUUUUAAAGUUUCUUUGUUCCGGUGCCAAUGGGUGAAGCCAAGAAGAAUCUAGGUCGGGAGCAGGGGUUGGUGGAUGGUUAGUCCAAGACGCGGAACAACAGAGUUUUCUAGCGUAUUAUUAUACCGUCGUCGCCUUUGAAUUCUUUAUGUGUACGUACAAUUACAGCUCGAAUUACUUCGGAUCUUUCUAGAGGCAUUUGGGGCACUGCGCGGAGUUGAGUUCGGAAGAAUCCUAGUUUCUUUUUUUUAUGGAACACGCGCUUGCUAACUGACUAUUUUCAAGCCCGUCUCCAGAGGAUCCUCCUCGAGUUCUACCGGGCCCCGGUGAACGGCGGUCGCACGAAAGGCCUAGGCCUUUGAUUAGGACAUUGCACAAUGAUCCAAACACUUUGUCGCAUCUCUUCGAUACGAAUACAGUAACGAUCAUAGCGAUCCCCUCUGGUACCCCUGUGAAGCUUAACAGACAAAGAAAACGAUAGAGACUUCCGGGUAUAGGGUGACGAGCCUGACGGAGCAAUGCCGCGUGGAGGUGGAAGGCCUACGGGUCGUCAACUUCUUUUCUCGGAGAAGAAACAAUGACAGUGGAAACGGCGAACAAUUGCUGUAAUAUAUAGUAUAGAUACCGGAGAAACAUGCUGCUCUCCUCUUCUAUUCCAUUUUAUGUUUCUACAUAUCUUUCGAGAAGGGGGAGGUCCGAGCCAUAACGGAUUGAUGUGACCGUAACGGCGACUUGGAUAGCCGUAACACUCUCGGUAUGGAGGCGUCCCGAAGGGGACCGGCAGUAAGACUGCUUAUGCCCCGAAAGGCUGAGCCGAAUCAAAAAAAGCCUGGAAUUCCACCAACAGGAAUCUUCCUUCAAGUCCUCCAUACGUCAGUUUCUAUUCCAGCCCAGCAACGAAGGUCGGUCUGCAACAUUCCCUGGUACCCAUUCCGCUUACAGCUAGAAUCUCUAUCUCUGAUCCUGCCCUCCUUCCUAUCUGUCAUUUACAGAAGGUGCGAACCUGGUCUAGCAUCUCUCGGGUUUUUUUUCUCUCCUAUUUUUUUUUCUGUCAUAUAUUUUUCUCCUAUUUUUCAUUUUUUAUUUUCAAAAUAGGAAGUUCGAGAUAGAAUUUGGUCCAGUUGCUUCCCGCGGGUUUUCAUAACCCUGCUGCGCAAAAAUGGGGGUUAUUAUAACAAUAUAAAAUGAAGAUAAUGUUUGGAGUUUAAUAAGCUCUUUGCAAAAGAAUAGUUCCUGCUAGUGAAGUACCUAAAUAGUGCAAUCUCUUGCAUCGAGAAUCAUCCUACUUCUUCACUUAAUGCUUGCUUUCCGUCUUGCCUUUGCUGGGCCUACGAUAGGCUGUACUCCAAUACGAAAUAAGAUUUCUGGAGGCGCCUCACCACAAAUGCCUUUCCGUGACCCAAGCUACUUUACAAGCCUAUUUGUAAAAAACCUAGAAACUACUUCUCGUGAUGUUGUGGUAGAGCUUUUAUUUUAGCUCGAAACAUGCCGUAGUUCCUCGCUGGGACAGGAAUAAGUCGUCAAGUAGGCAUAUGAAUGGGAAAGGCUUUUCUUGUGGAUUCCUCCAACUCCAUGAAUGAAGGGGGGAGUAUGAGGAGGCUCUUUCAUCAACUGAUGUAAAGAUCAGUUAAUUCGCCAUAGUUUUUCUUUAGGGAAAGAUAAUAAGAUGGCUCCCUGUGCUCUGGCGCUAAUUCGUAGUGCUCUUCAGGUCCGAUACACAGAUCUGUCUUUUUCUCGAAAGACCUCCUUGUAUUUUCUAAUGUUCCGAAUCUAGCUUAUUCAACGUGGAUCCGACAAGAUCUGCUCCUCUUAGGCUCUACCACUGAGCUACUGAGGAACAAGGGGAGAUUCGACCUCCUAGAGUUCAACUCCCGCUCUCAACCCGUGAACAAUAUGAGUCCGAAGCUUCUUUCGUAACUCCUGAAAUUUGGUUUUUCAAGUAGUAUAGUUUUCUCAAGAAACCGGAAAAAGAUAAGUGUAGAUAAGUAAGGAGGGGCCCUUAGUGAGUGUGUAUAGGUUUCUGAGUCAGAAGAUUCUCAGGAUGGAGUUCCCCCGACUAGAAGGAUCCAGGGACAACGGCUAUUUCCUCCUAAAAUAUUGGCAGUAGCCGAAACGACUGGAAACCCAGGUAGCGGUCCGAAAAGGGCAAAAGUGGGAAGCGGAGACCGUAAAAAGGGGGAAAGGGCUGUUCCCUAUUAUUUCAAUCUUCCUCAACAGCUUCUAAUGAUUAACUUGCAAAACCCAUUCUUGCAAAGAGCCCUUUUUCCAAUCCGGACAAAAUCGCGGGUGUCCAGUUGGCAUGGGUCUGGGUUCGGCUCAUCAACUCGAACGGUCAAUGCUGGCCUGAUACCAGCAUCGUUAUACGUCACAAGUUGGGGUUGUUGGGGAGUAGGGCCGGGGGAGAAGUUCUAGAUACUUUUCCUUACAUUGUAUCCGACAUCCUUUCCAUUCUUUUGGAGAGAACUCGACUACUAGAAGGCACUAGACUCUGGGCUCCUCGUUCAUCGGGAAAUGGGCCUGAAACCGCGCACUCCCAGAAUGGCGCUUCAAAUAUCACCAAAGAGAGAGGGUGCUUGCACCUGGCACCUCGGUCUUCAGUUGAGAAAAGUGCGAGUCAUAGAAAGUUUGAAAUCCAAAUCAAGAUAAAACGCGAAUAUGGGAGCCCGGAGGAAGAUUCUAUCUUAAUAAAUGAGGGUUUUAUUGAGCAUCGAGGAACAAAAGAAUUUAGUCUAAAAUACCAAAAAGAAGUAGAUCGGUUUUUUUUCAUUCUUCAAGAACUGCAUCCGCUCUCAACCCGUGAACAAUAUGAGUCCGAAGCUUCUUUCGUAACUCCCGUUCCCUUGGCAAGGAAGUUCUGAUCAUUGCAUUGGCAUUCCAUGUUUGCAGGCCACAUCCCAAAGCAGCGAAGAACAAAUAGAAUUUGCUACAAAAGCCGGCUAAGGACAGACAAGAGAAGAAGUCAGAAGGGCAUAACCUGGAGUCCGUCUUUUCUAGGUGCGCAUCUCUAUCUACUAAAAGUAGCCCAUGUCUUUGAAAUCCAACGAUCGUAAUGCCUAUAAAAAUGGAAAAUGAAAGAGCCAAAGUUUUUACUAGAAGUGGAAGAGUUACACAAAGUUCGCGAAAUGAUCACAAGGGUUUAUGCACUAAGAACAGGCAAAUAUGCCUGGGUAAUUCCUCUUCUCCCACUUCCAGUUAUUAUGUCAAUGGGAUUUGGACUUUUUCUUAUUCCCACAGCAACAAAAAAUCUUCGAUCGGUUUCGGGUCAAAUAGGAAGAACGUAAAUCUUCCACCUCUGGAAAGCGCCUACACCUAAUGGCUUAAGCCGCUGUUCCCAUUUCCUCGCUGACCCAUCAUGCGAAAGGUACGCCGUUAGAGUGCGUGCGCCCGCGCUCCGCUCCUUCGACUGAUUGUUCGCAUCGGAUCUCAGGUUCUCUAUUGCACUCCCCGAUUGGGGUUCUUUUCACCUUUCCCUCACGGAAUAGAAAGAUAGAUCCAUCCAUCUAUCCAGAUAUCUAAAAAAGAAUCGAUUUUGAUUUCAUGAAACCUUUGAUUCAAAGAACUGCGCUUAGCCCCCCCGCUCAUGAAACGGCUCUGCUGCAAUGGAUGGCAGAGGGUCCGUAGUACACGAAGCACUGGAGUGAUCCAGUAGCUGGGAAGGGGCCUAGAAGUGCCCCUUUGAGUUUGAUCAAAAAAACAAAAAUGCAAGAAAAAUUGCAAUCCCUACCACGUAAUAGUGCACCUACACGCCUUCAUCGACGCUGUUUUUUAACCGGCGAAUAUCUGUAUAUAAGAAACUUCUAUUCCAAUCCACAAUCGGUCCAACAAGUCAACUGUCGUCAAUUAGAUCAAUCAGGAAUAAGCAAUAUGUCGUACCCUAUCUGUCAUAUUUGCUUUUCGGUAAAGUUGAACCGGGACCUAUUCUCAUAAUAGGCAGCAAGCAAAGCUAAAUAGGAAAGGGGGCGACGUUGCCUUUUUCGUCAAAAUAAAAAAGGGUGGAAUGUGGAGCAAUUCUUCCAUGUUUCCGCAGUAGCAUAUUGUUCCAUGGAGCUAGGGUCCAAAAUAGGAAUCAACAAGUGUUUCCACGACUCUACCGCCCGGCCAAUCCUGUUCCACUGAAUCCCCUGAGCCGGAGGUCACUUUUCCCGAUCCAUCCCGAAGGUUUUUUUCCCUCUCUCGCCCCAUCAUCGUACCCAGUCCUGCUAUCGGCUCAGCCCAAUAGCAGCUGGGCUAGGUACGAUGAGCGGGCGACGAAAGUCAUGAAAAUUGGUAAGUUGGUCAAUGGAAUCCAGUCGAAAGAUCAAGAAAGCAAAGCAUAAGAAGACUCUGAUCCUCUUCUACGAAUCUACAACUCUCUUUACUGAGCGAGACUUCAUCUAUAUCCCUAAAAGUGGAUUUGGAUUCCCAUUUUUUCUUUGAAUGACAUUGAAAAGGGGGGUCCCUCCUCCCCCUGCUAGCUAGAUAUGGUGGGGUGCUUUCGCAACGAAUCUCUUGACCUAAAAAAAGUGUCCUUUCUCGAUACAUAACAUUGUAUAAGUCAACCCAAGUCGCUUCUUCAUCUCCGGGAAUCUGGUAAGGUACUUUUGGAACACUAAUGGGCAUAUUAGAUUAAUAUUAUUAAAUUUAAGUAAAAAAACUACACUUUAAUAUGGAAACAUAAGAAUCUGCAGAAGCAUCUAAUAGCGAUUCUUAGAAUCCACAGCAAAGAACAGAACACCUCGUUCCCAUUUCUCUUUUUGUACGGAAUGAACCAAUUCUCGUUCUACAACAAGAAGAAGAUCCAUGAACUGGAACGGAUGGAAGAUAGCACUAGAAGUAAAAGAAAUAUUGAAAGGUGAUUUUACUAGUCAAGCAAGUAUCGGACAACUGCGAGCGAAAGCAAGAGAUGUUUCUCGAGCUACAAUGAACAAUUCCAUUCAAAGGAAUGUUCUAGAGGGGGCCCUUUUCCGCAAAUUUUGUUGAAAAUUAGUCGUUAUUUGAACGAAACCGGGAGGCCUCUGCCGUCUUACAACGCUCACCGGGAUUUCUGAGCAGAAGUACUCGGGCCCCGACUCGAUCCUGGGGGAAAAGUGAUAUCCAGCACGGGUCCAAUAAUUUGAUCAAUAUGCCCUACGCUUUUUUCUUCAAUUGUGGAAACCCCGGGACGCGAAGUAGUAGGGCAUCUUUCGGCGGAGGAAAGGAGGCGACUAGUCGCUUCUGGCGAAGCUGCGAGUUCAUGAGCAAGUGAAUGAACGAGCUGCGAGUGAAGUGCUCCUCAGCAAAUCUAAUCCCAAUACGAAUUCCAGAAUAAUGCUAUAAUGGAGCCAUCCUUUCCAAAUGAAUCUGUAUCCUCUGUUUCGAUGAAAGCUAUCCCCGGGGACAGAAUUUUUAUGACAGUUUGGCCAAUCUUGAGAUUGUUCUACAGCGUUGUCUUGAAGCUGAUUUGGUACUCAAUUGGGAGAAGUGUCAUUUCCUGGUUCAAGAGGGUAUUGUCCUCGGUCAUUUGGUUUCCUUGCGAGGAAUUGAGAUUGAUAAAGCCAAAGUUGAGGAUCGCUUGGUCCUGCCCCAUUUCCUUGAAUGAAGAAAUUGAGGUUCCAUACCAUCUCCUUCCCCACUCAAAAGGUAUGCGCCGCUACAACGGAUGUUCCCGACUCACACCGGAUAUGGACCGAACUAUCUCACGACGUUCUGAACCCAGCUCACGUACCGCAUUAAUGGGCGACUCAAAAUCUCGUGCUAAAGAGCGUGGAGGUUCGCCCCACUACUUACUUAAUGAAUCUCAUGGGCCUUGUCCUGGCUUCAAAGAAAGACCUUUCGAAAUGUCAAUUUACGUUUUCAAAACUACAGCUAUCUUGCCUAGAGUCCCCUCUGUCUUGCUAAACACAAAUCCUUCUUUUCUUGUAUAGACGAAAAAAAGAACAAAGUAGGUUUCGACCCAUUAAAGGAGUCAAUGGCCUUCCAACGGGCCAGGAAAUUGGUCACAAUCAUAAAAGACCUGAACCGGAGGUGCAUACAAUUGACAGGGUAGCUCGGAGGUCAGAUGAGUCCCCAUAAAGAUAGAUUAGUACUGGAAGGUUCAGAUGAAGGAAUGGGGUAGCGAGGGGUGCUAGGUCUUUCUUCGCAAGCGUUGCGGGCUUCUCUCUCUGGUCUCACUUCGAGUCAUUGGAAGCCUGCAGGGUCAAAUUUGGAGUAUUUUCAGUUAGAAUCUAGAGUCAGCCUAUUCAGUUCUUAGCCCUUAAGGGUAAGGCAGGGGGAGAACUUGUCGAUUGGUCAAGCGAUUCCAGAUUCUUCUUCAUUUGCAGUAGAGAAAUAGCUGCCCAAAGGGGAUCAUUGAGCCGGUUACCGGUGGCUAAGAGCCUUUCCUUUCCAUUUUAUCGACCUUUCCUUUGGAUUUAUUAUCAUAGGUAGUGUUCGAGAUCGCCUCUAUGCGGUGAACGCUCAUCCAAAUGUUGGUGUGUUGCUAUCGGAUCGAAAUAGAGGUCAGGGUUUGGCAAAAAUGCUGCCCUUCGAGAAGUCCCCCACCCUCUUUUUGUAAUCUCUGCAGCUUCCUAGAGGCUUUUUGCUUUUUAUUAUUGAAAAUAUAGCAGAUCUGAAGUCUUUUUUAUUAUUUUUUUUCUUCGUUUUUUACUCGUUUUUAGCACCUAUAACGGAGCCAUCAAUUGGUAGAGGUAGAAACUAUCAAUUUUUUUUUGAAAUCGUUCGGACCUCUGCUUAGUUUCAUCCAAGCUUCAUCCUAGUCAUGGCCACCUUGUAAAUAUGUGUUCGUAUCCGGGCAACAUCACAGACAGUGAAAAUCUUAGUCACUAGGCAAGAAUGGAAAGAGCUUCUUUACCUCAACAGAAAAGUAGCUUACCCAAAGCUAAUCCUCAGUUUCAACCAGUACAAAAGCAAAGCUUGUCCCAGCCUCAUUAGACUGAAAAGAAUUACCCCUGCCUCUGUUGGGUCCGGAACGGCAGCCCCUGCUGGAGUGAAACCUUCCACCAUUUUCGGAAAAAGAGGGGUCCCAAAUGAAAUUCUAGAGAAAUCCUUGUUAUUCGCGGAAAUAGGAUCGGAACAAGAAGGCUUCCAGGAAUUGGGAAUGACCGGAGGUGGGGUAACAGUCGACAAGGAGUAUGGGAUGACAACCGUGGACCUUAACAAUAGUGGGUUCAAAGACAAACCAUUCGUCCUUGCUGCAGACGUGAGUCUGGUGUUCUAUGUCAAAGAUAUGUCUACGAAACCAAAGAGAGGAAAAAAUGAUGACCACUCAAUCAUCAAUGAGCCAAAGCGCCACAUUGUCCUUUCUCGGAAAAGAAACAUUGUCGGAAUUGAGGACAAGUCAGACAUGUCAGGCGAUUACGAAAGGGAUGAUCGAAUUCCGCCCUUCAUAGUCAACAAAGACCCAAGCAUUCUGUUAAACAAUGAGGAUACUCCAUGGUUACGGCAGGAUCAUAACCAAGGGUCAUACGUCAAGAAGAAGUUCACUGUUGUGUCGGCUUAACAUAAAGUCAUGUUUAAUAGUAUGUGUUGUAAGAAACUUUGUAUGAAACUAUAUUUGAGAAUUGUGAAUUUUGAUGAGUGUAACAAACUUUGUAUUCAUGACUUUUCCAUUUGGGACCAUCUAGAGUUCGGUCAAAGAGUGUUUUUGUAAAAACCAUUGCUUUGACUUCGGUCAAACUUGGUCAAAUGACAAACUAAAUUACUUAAAAUGAAAAAAAUUUGAAUACCAAGUUGUUAGAUAUCAUCAAGAUCUAAACCUUUUAUAUACACAACUUUUCCAUUUGAGAAAGUUUAAGUUUACAAUACCCACCAAUUCUUGAAUCUCACACAAACUAUAUGAAACUAUAUGUGUCAAUUGUGGAUUUUCAACUACACCUUCCUAAAACUUUGUCAAAUGCAAAAAUGGUCUAUAUAUUAAAUGUACAUUUUGAUGAGUGGAACAAUAAUGGCAUUCAUGAUUUUUCCAUUCGAGGCCAUCUAGGGUUCCAAAACAGCUGCGUGGCUAUGAAUUCUCUGAAAAUUCAAAAUUGAGUGGUUCAAACUUUUCCAAAAGAAAAGUUGACCAUUAGACAAAAUGUAGAACUUGAUGAGUGUAACAAACUUUGUAUUCAUGACUUUUCCAUUUGGGACAAUCUAGGGUUCGGUCAAAGGGUGUUUUUGUAGAAACCAAUGCUUUGACUUUGGUCAAACUUGAUCAAAUGGCCCAUUUGAUGACUUCAAAUGAAAAAUUUUUGAAUACAAAGUUGUUAGAGAUCAUCAAGAUCUACAUUUUAUAUAUUGUCCAUUUUUCCAUUUGGAUAAUUUUUAGCCAAUCAUAAUCACAUUUCUAUAAAAUCCAAGACAGGAUUUGGUCAAACUUGGUCAAAUGACAAACUAAAUUACUUAAAAUGAAAAAAUUUUGAAUACCAAGUUGUUAGAUAUCAUCAAGAUCUAAACUUUUUAUAUACACAACUUUUCCAUUUGAGAAAGUUUAAGUUAACAAUACCCACCAAUUCUUGAAUCUCACACAAACUAUAUGAAACUAUAUGUGUCAAUUGUGGAUUUUCAACUACACCUUCCUAAAACUUUGUCAAAUGCAAAAAUGGUCUAUAUAUUAAAUGUAGAUUUUGAUGAGUGGAACAAUAUUGGUAUUCAUGACUUUUCCAUUCGAGACCAUCUAGGGUUCCAAAACCGCUGCGUGGCUAUGAAUUCUCUGAAAAUUCAAAAUACAGUGGUUCAAACUUUUCCAAAAGAAAAGUUGACCAUUAGACAAAAUGUAGAACUUGAUGAGUGUAACAAACUUUGUAUUCAUGACUUUUCCAUUUGGGACAAUCUAGGGUUCGGUCAAAGGGUGUGUUCAUCAAGAUAUAUAUUUUUAUAUGAUAAAUAGAUUUUUUAUUCGAUGAAAACAAUACCCUACUAGCAUUCCGAGUAAUAAAUAACAAAAGUAAAAAGUUUAACGUCAAUAUGAUGUGAAAAUAGAUUUCCAGUAGAUUGGAUAUAGUUUUUGUAAAUUUAUUGGAAUAAUAUAUUUUUGCAUGAACAAAAUACUAAACAUUUCUUACAAAAUCAUUGCAAAUUAUAAAAAUACAGUAAGAUAUUUAAGGUUAAAAUUUUUCAUGUGUACAUUAAAAAAAAUUACAAUAUAUGUCACUGUUUAAAAAAUAUUAUGCAAAAUAUUUAAUUUACUAUACAAUUUAUAAUAUAAACUGUAUGUAAACUUUAGCACCGGUUCCAGACAAGGACCGGUGCUAAAGGGUCUGCCCCUAUAUAAGCCACAGGCGCUCUGGAUCUGAGCAGUUGCCUUCGUCUUCGUCUUCGUCGAGCAGAGAGCUCCGCCGCCGCCGUCCAACGCCGCCCGUUCGUCUCCACAGCACCGCCGUUCGUCUCCAGCGCCGCCGCCGCCAUCUCCAGCGCCGUCGCCGCCAUCUUCAGCAGAGCCGGCCGCCACCGGCCAUCUCCUUCGACGAACUCUGGCCGCCACGAUCAUACGUAUAUUCAUCGAUCUAUAUAUAUGCAUGAAUGCCAACAGUUUAUAUAUAUAGACUAAAAUUGUAUAUAUGAAUUGUAUAUAUAUAUGAAUACCAACAGUUUCGAUGAAUAAUAUGUUAUAUAUAUAUAUUACAUAUAUAUAUAUAUAUAUAUUAUAUAAAUAUAUGUAUCAUAUAUAUAUAUAUCUUAUAUAUGUAUAUAUAUAUUAUAUAAUGUUUUGAAUUGUUUUAAAUGUAUAUAUAUAGUAGUAGUAUGUCAGUCUCUAAUAUAUAUUAAUGUUUGUACUAUUAUUCUUAUAUUAUUUUGUAGUAUUAUUUUUUAGUAUAUUAUUCUAGUGUAUUACUUGGCUUAAAAGAUUCAAGUGUAUACAUAUACUAUUAUUGUUUACUAUUAUUCUAGUAUUAUUUUUUAGUAUAUUAUUCUAGUAUAUUACUUGGCUUAAAAGAUUCUAGUGUAUACAUAUACAUAUAUUAUUGUUUGUACUAUUAUUCUAGUAUUGUUUUUAGUAUAUUAUUCUAGUGUAUUACUUGGCUUAAAAGAUUCUAGUAUUAUUUUUAGAGCACUCCAACACUUUCAUUUGUAGUAGUACUAGUAGUAGUAUAUAAGUCUCUAAUAUAUAUUCUAGUAGUGUUUAGCCACCAAAUUUAUUCUAGUAGGGUUUUUUAUAUAUUAUUGUUUGUACUAUAUUAUUCUAGUAUUUUUUAGUAUAUUAUUCUAGUAUAUUACUUGGCUUAAAAGAUUCUAGUAUUAUUUUUAGAGCACUCCAGUAGUACUAGUAGUAGUAUAUAAGUCUCUAAUAUAUAUUCUAUUGGUGUUUACCCACCAAAUUUAUUCUAGUAGUGUUUUGUAUAUGUUAUUGUUUGUACUAUUAUUCUAGUAUUAUUUUUAGUAUAUUAUGAAUUCUAGUGUUUUAGUAUAUUAUGAAUUCUAGUGUUAUUGUUAGUAUUAUUUUUUUAGUAUAUUAUUCUAGUGUGUUUCUUAUCUUAUAUAGAAUAUAUAUAUGUAUGGUUGCAGACAUAGAAAUGGCUGACCGUCCUCAUGAUGAUCCUGAUUAUAUGGAAGAUGCCAUUCAAAAUAUGAUCAACGACGGUAGUCAGUACUUUAUUGAUUACAACGAGAUCAUGCAAGGCAAUCCGAUUGAGCAACAAGAGGGAAAUGCCCCUGAGUAACAAGAGGGCAAUGCGCCUGAGCAACAACUUGUCGUGAAACAAGAAGAAAAUACUGGCGAGGUAUGUAAAUGUAAACAUAUAUAAUUAAUGCAUCUCUUACAUUAGGUUUUAGACUUACUUGGUUAUUAAUUUAGUAUUUUUGUUCUUAUAUCUACGUGUAGCCUUCUGGAUCGACCUCUACGGGGAGAAGCGUACCUCCACGAGGGCCAAAGAAGCCGUUGGAGGGCCGCUAUGUAAUCUCUGAGUUUGAGAUAGCUACAGGCAGACCACUUGGUGAACAUGUAAAUAAAUAUGUUAGUCACUGUGGAUAUCUUGUGAUAGAUCAAAUACCGAUUAGUGCUCGUUAAUGGAGAGAGAAGCGAGGUGCUCCUAAGAUCAGUUUUGUCUCUGAUCGUGACAAGGACUUAGUUUGGAAAGCCGUCACAGACGUUUUUACCUUCGACACCAACGAUGAAGAGUUGAAGGUGCGAAUUUAUGACUGGAGUAUGAAGAAGAUGGCGGUACUGUUCCAGAAUUGGAAGAAGACUUUGUACAAUAAAUUUGUCAAGAAAAACGAGACUCCAAAUUUCAACCUCAAGCAAUACGUAAAGCUGAGGGUCUUCUGGGAUGACUUCGUGCAGUACAAAACAUUAGAAGAGGGCGAGGAACGAGCCAUUAGAAACAAAGAGAAUGCAAGUAAAAAGACAUACCACCAUCAUAUGGGAUCAGGUGGUUAUAAGAAUGUUGUAUCCAAGUGGGACCUAAUGGAACAGGAGAUGCUUGCUAGGGGGGUCACACCCGAGACAAUAGCAAAGAAUUGGAGCGAGCGCUCCAAGCAUUGGUUCUACGGUCAUGGGGGAAGCUUGGAUCCAGACACCGGGGCGCUAUUUUGGGGCCAAGAAAUCUCUAGAGCAGCAGAGAGACUAGUCCGUGCACGAGAGGCGGUUCAGUCUGGUGAGUUCAGGCCUAACAGGGAGAAGGAUGAACUCACCUAUGCGCUUGAAAAUCUUGAGCACGGUGGGCGCACGAGAGGCUAUGGGGCAGUUCCGUGGCUGCAAUCAUUCCAAGCCAAUCAAGAUACCUACAGAAGCUACCAGAGAAAGAAGGAUGAGGAGGAAGAGCGGAUCCGCCGCCUGGAAGCUUUUGUUCUGCAGUCAGAAGAGCGUGAGAAAGCUCGUGAAGAAUGGAUGCAGGCGGAGAUUCAAAGGCAAGUGCAAGCAGCACUUAGUCAAAUGACGAAAGGGCAAGGUACAUCACAGCCUGAGGUCAACGUUAGCCCCCCAUGCCAGUUGAAAAGCAGCUGCGGAUCCACGGAAGUACCAACCGUUCAGGAUGACACGAAGCUACACUUCCCCGUGGAUGAUGUCACAGAGGCUUUUAGUACCUGUGAGCUGCAUGUACCAGAUGGGAAUGCAACAAAAAAGGUGGCUAUCGCUGUUGUCAACCCUAUCGACCGAACGAGAAAUCCAACAAUCCAUAAUCGACCAGUACCUAGUGGAUAUGCUAGCGUCUCGGUUGAUAGGGUUGAGAAAGGUUGUGGCAAUGUGCCUCUAGACAUAGAAGGGGAGACAGAGAGAAGACAUUAGGUGAAGCUGAGAAGACAUUUAUUUGUUGGCGCAAGCUCUUCAUAAUUAUUCCUCAACAUAGGUUUGUGUGUGAUUUUACUUCUUAUAUUAUUUAUUAUGUAUUGAAAUUAAAAAAGAGUUUGCUCACAAAACUUGUAAUUGUUUUCUUUGCAGGGACUCCUCCAACCUAAGUCCAGUUCUCUCCCCAGCGCAUCAUAGUGCUGCGGGCGGUGACAAUGCUGGAUCUCCUCCAACACCUGCGGCGGCCACACCGACCCCGCCACCGCCUCCACCACGGUCUCCACCUCCUCCACCGAGGUCUCCAACUCCUCCACCGCAUUCUCCAACACCGAAAAGAUCGGCCCCACCACCUCCACCGCCUGCACCGCCCUCUCCAAAGUGUACACGGUCGGUCCCCUCGCCUCCAAAGCGAGGUAGUCACAAGUGGUCCGCCCAAGAACGACCGAAGUCAUCGGUCCCACCUCCAAAGAAGGCUGCCUCAGCAAAGAGAGCUAAGACUCCAGAAAAAUUAUCUUAUGAAAAUAGUGAAGAGGAGGUAAUUGCUGCAUCCAAAGCUGAGGUGAAACAAUUUUUUGAUAAAUUGAAGGAGGAUAGAAAAAAGCGGCUAAACCCAGAAAAGCCGUACUUUUAUGUAAAGCCAUUGGAACUGAGGCAGAAGGUGGCGGACCAGCAAAAGAAGCAACCCGAAGCUCAGAAAAAGUCAGCACUUUCGGACUAUGAGCGGUCUCUGGUCAAGUCUUCACAGCCUAGAAAGAGGGUCCCACAGCUCGGAGAAGUAUCAAAACCGGUGCCCCCUUUGAUUGUGCCAAAUCAAUACGGCUCAAAUGAAGACUUCAUGCCAAAGAAAUCCUUAGCGUUGUCUGAGCUCGACUCGCUUGAGCGUUUCUUUCGACACACAAAUGUUUGCAAUAAACAAAUGGUGCAUUGAGGCGUCUAAAAGGGGAGAGAAUUGGAUUUCUGUUCGUAUUAGACAACAUCACUACUUCUGUGGAGAUGACCUCAUAUACGUGCAGUUCGAAGAAUUGCACCAACUAUGUCACCUCGACGCUCUCGACAAAUCUCUUGUCAGCUACUUUUGUCUGUAAGUAUUUUUUCUUUUUAUUAUACUUCUAACUUCUUUAAUUACAUGUAUAUAAUCCUUACACACUUAGAAUUUAUAUGUAUAUAUGCAGGCACCAAAUGAGAGAGCUCAGAAUCAGAAAUGACAAUAGUAUUGGGUUCGUUGACCCUUAUAUUGUUUUCAAGGCUCCGCAGGCAGUGUGGACAGCAGCUCAUGAGACAGAAGUAUGCACCAAUCUUAUGAGGUUCUUUGUGAACCAAAAAGGAAAAACAAAAAAUACUCUUCCCCUUCAACUUCGAGUGAGUUAUAUAGUUAUUAAGUGCAUGCAUAUUUUAUUUUAAUAAUUAUUACUCGAGACAAGUUUUAUAUAGUUAUAUAUAGGCCUGACUAUAUAUAUAUAUGUGUGUAAACAGCUUUCACUGAAUACUCAUGGUCAUUGAAAUUCCCAAGAACCGGUUGAUAAUCUUUGACUCAAUGAGAAAACCAAAAGAAAAUUAUCAACAAAUGGUAAACAUUAUUCAAAGGUACGUAAUAUCAAUCUCAGCUAGAACAAUAUGAUAAUAUGACUCUGUAAUUAUUAGUUCACGAUCCACAAUGGCUGUGUGUAGGGUUUGGGAAAGAUUCAUUGACCGUGAACAUCUCAGUGGAUGUAAAGCGCCGCUUAACAUCCACAAGUAAGUUCUACUAGCUAGCAAACUUUCGCUAACUUUUAGCCUUCUUAUUGUCAUGGUCGUGAAUAUUAUAUAUAUAUAUAUCGUACAGUGGUGUUUAAGACAAGAAGGGGGGAACAAUCUAUGUGCAUAUUACGUGUGCAAAUUCAUGAUGGCACAAGUCAAUCAAACACCCACAGAGACUGCUCAGAGUACGUUACAUGUCUCUUUUCAUUAUCUCCUGAAUUAUAUUGAAUAACUUAGAUAACUAAUACUUUUUUAUUUAUUUCAAAUUAAAGACGGAAUGGUUGAGGGAAAAGGUCAUACAAAAAGACUGAAUCAAAGCUAUCCAAGAGACGAUAGCAGGAUUUCUCCGCGAGCAAGUGAUCAAUCCAAACGGCGAGUUUCACUUCAACGGCAACGAAACUCUUAUUCCAAACAACGAUGAUCAUUUGUAUCGUUUUUAGACAUUGGGAUAAAAAACUCUAUGUAUAUAUGUGUUACGAAUUUUGUACUUAUAAAACUAUAUAUAUAUAUAAAGCUUUUUACAUAUCUAUUUAAUUUUUGAUGUGGCCUAUUCAUUUUAUUAUAGGCAAAGCUUAAUUAUAAAGCUAAGCCUAUAAUUUUCAUUUAUAUAUGCUUAAUAUGCGUGUAAUAUAAAUAUAUUAUUGUAUCAGCAAAAAUAUGUAUUAAAAAACCUAUUAUUAUUAUAUAUAAAAACAAUAAACAGAACCGAAGAUGUGAACCAAAAAAAAAGAAACCAUUAACACCGGUUGGUAAUACCAACCGGUGUUAAAGGCUCCUGCAACGUGGCAGCCCUGGCAGGACCCUUUAACACCGGUUGGUAUUACCAACCGGUGUUAAAGGGAGGGGGGUGGGCUUUAGCCCCGGUUCCCCAAACCGGGACUAAAGGGUGCCUUUAGUCCCGGAAGAGUAGCACCGGCUCGGGAACCGGGGCAACAGGCCCUUCCCGACCGGUGCUAAUGCCCGAACGUGUGCUAGUGUCAGCUCCUCUAGCGCCCUUUCACGAAACCUCUAACAAGCUAGAAAAGGUCUUCAUAAUGAGCUAAAGCCAGAGCCAUAUAACCCUCAUGGUUGUACGAGUUGUUACAGCUUUUGCCAAGGGAUAAGUCCUUAUGGAGGGUCAAGAUCAAUCCAGCAAAAGCCAGAGUUCUUUCCACCCUUUAUAUUCAAGUUGCUAGAAAGCUUAUUUUAUUGUUUAUUGUAUAUUCUAAUAUUCAUGUUACAAGAUCAUGGAUUAAUAAUCAAGCACUAGCAAGAACUACCCACAUGCAUAUCCAAAUAGGUAACAAGGAAUUCAGGAUAAUAAUCAUCUAUGAUUUUGCUAAGGUCAUCAAGGUGGACACAUGCAUAUGAUAUAUGUAUUAAAAGUGUGUAGGUAACAAGGAUGAUCCCAAGUUAUACUUGCCUUGAUCAAGGCUCUCCUGAGCCUGCUGCUGGUCUUCAAAAGAUUGACCUUGAUCACCAACGUAUCGCUCACCGUCUAUACUCAAUCAUCAAUCAACAACACGCAAUCCAAUGUAGACAUUCAUACACGAAGCAAACAAGUUAUUAUUAGAACAAUACACCAAACAGUGGUAAAACAAAUAUAAAAGUUUAUCAAAAUAUUCUACGCAGCGCUACGAUCACACAAACGUAAAGUUCACAAAAUUCAGAAUUAAAACGUAGAAGAUAUGAAUUUUCCAAGAUUUCCUAUAGAUAAAUAAUUAGUUAAAUACUAUUGCAUGAUUAAAAAGUUUCAAAAUAGAGAAUUAAUACGCCUAACAUAUACGAACCUAACGCAAUUUGAAUGGACAAAAAUGGAGUUAAAUCGAAUAUUUUAUGAGCAAAACAAAAUCAAUGGCAAUUCUUUAAAUACUGGAAAGCGUAAUUUGAUUCAAACCGACAAAAAUACGCUUUUAGAAAAUGAAAACGUAAACCAGAAAAUACGUAAAGGACGGCGGGUUGAUUACUCACAUCCUGGGGGUCUCUUUAGCAAAAUAACCCCUGAAGGGGUAUCUUCUGUUCUGGUGCGUCGGAUUUCAAUCGGACGGUUGAAAUCGCGCAGGGGUGAGAUCCGGCCGACUGCCUCGCCGGAACAGGAGCCCGACACGGCGGCGCCAUGGCCGGAGGAGCCGAGCUCGGUGGCGCUCAUGGUUUCGACGACUCAGAGCCUCCCUGGAAGAAAGAAAUGCACUGGGCGGAAGAGGAGCUUACCCCGAGCUCGCCUAAGCACCUUUCUAAGGCCAAGGACGCGAGUAUGGAGCUCGCGGUGGCGGCGAGAAGAACUUUGCUCGGCGAGAUCCCAAAACGCAAGAAAACGGCGGCUAGGGCACGGUUUGGCAAUUUAGAUGCAAAGAGGAGUUCGCUGCAGUGUUAGGGAGUCUUAUAGGACGCGAUUGAGCAAGAAAUCCCGGGUUCGUCGGGAUUUGGAAGGUGCGGCUUGAGUCCGGGUUGGUGACGGCGCGAGGAAGAAGGGAAACGGGAGGAAGAGGCGCUGACUUGUGGGGCCCGGCUGUCAGCCACCGAAUGGAGAGGGGCACGCGGCUGCCUGGCCACUAGGUCGCUCAUAGGCCGAGAGAGGGAAUAGGCCGAACGAGGGGAGAAAAGGGGGAAGGGUGCUAGGCUGCGGGGAAGCUGGUUGGGCUGAGCGCGGGGGAGAGGAAAAGCUGUGCUGCGGCCUGCGGCCAGCUCCCAGGGAUUUCUCCCCUUUAACCUUUUCUUUUCAAAAACAUUUUCCAACUAGAAUUCUGUGCACAAAUUAUUUCUAUGCAAAAGCAAAGCAAGCAAAACAUAAAAUAUGCUCCAGCAUGAAUGCAUAACCAUGUUUCUAAUCCUAGGAUGAAUUUUAAUCACCAUAAAAUUAUUUAUUUGCUAGAUUGAAAAUGCUCACCAAAAAUACUUAAAUAAAUCAAUUUAAUUCCUAUUAAUUGAAAUAAAAUUUUUGGGUGUUACAAUCAAUAAUUCCCCCAAGCUUACCUUUUGCUAGUCCCUUGGCAAACCAAGCCUAAGCAGUAUAUGUAUUUGGAUCAAGAGUUGCAACAAUGUUUUAAUUCUUUCCAAGUACACAUGUUCCCAAACAAAGAUUCUCCUCGAGAUUAGUUAAUAAUUGCUAUAAUAUUCAAACUUACCUGUUUUACCUUUAACCAUGGAGCCUUACAACUUUUGCAUGAGUCUUGAGCAAUCAGAAAACAAAACAAUCAGGUCAAGCACUAUGUCUCAAAUUCUUUGCAGAACCAUUAUUUCGGAGUUUUUUUAUAAGUUUUCAAAAUAAAACUCAGAGCUUAAUUGUAUGACACCCUCAAGUCUCUCAAUAUAUGUGGUAUUUAUGGUUCUCUCUUGAGGCAUUAAUGAUGUUAUGGCUCCUAUAGCUAAAGAGGUAUAUAUAGUAGAGCUUAUAGGAGUGCUAAUAACAAGGAUGGGCAUACUUGCAAUGCAUAUAUUGUAAAGUCAAAUAAUGGAUCCACAGAGAAUUGAGGCAUACAAUCAAACCAAGGUGUGCAUGUGUAUGGAAAAUGGUGGAUAGGUGCAUUUGUGGUAUUUGUGGCUAAUUUUUAUUUCUUUUGGAACAGCUCUCUAUUGAAACUUUUCAGGAAAGACAUGGGCUAUUAUUAUUAUUAUUAUUAUUAUUAUUAUUAUUAUUAUUAUUAUUAUUAUUAUUAUUAUUAUUAUUAUUAUUAUUAUUAUUAUCAGGGAGGCGGGCAUCUAGUACCCAUUGUUUUAAUUACUGGGACACUUGUCCAUCUUUUACUCCCUUGUCUUCUUUUAUAUUUUUGGCAUAGCCACAUGUAUCCUUUGAAUACAAUAAAUGAUCAGAGAGGUAAUAACCUGAACUUAGAGCAUUUAUGAAGGGCUUUAUCCUAUGGGUAUGGUUUAUGUUGGUGUUUACUCCCAGUGUAGGAGAAAAACAUGAUUGAUGAACAUGGAAUGGAAAUGAUUGCGAUUACUCCUAGUGUGGGAAUAAUGCAUAUGUGAACUAGAGUGUGCACGUGAUCUUGGUUUUAAAAGCAUGACAAGACUCUCGUAAGGUAUACUACAAAGGUUGACUAAACUCAAUGCAAAGCAAGUAGCAUAAAUGUGCAAAAGUUUUCCUAACUCUAGAUUAUAUAUGGCUUUGGUAGGAUUUCAAACUUUGUUGGUGCAAAAGCUGAUCUGCAAACACAAAGGGCUAAUACUCGAUUCAAACGUUAAGGCGUGCCAGCCGAUUUGACCCUACUAUCGGCAAAGGUGGUAACACGAACACUUUGGUCCCGACAACAGCGAUGCGCCUGGAUGUCACGGCCUAGAGGUGUUCACGCGGAACUCGAGAAUACGCCGAGCUUAAGUCGACGAAUUCCUAAGAACUCGUAGUAAAAGGAAAAUAUGACGAAGUCGUCGAAAAAGUAGAUGCUGGAAUAUGAGUAAAAACUUGUGUUUGAUUGAUUGAUAGAUAUCUCAUUACAUUGCCCUAGGGUCUACAUUUAUACCCUGUCCAAAGAGCUACAACCAGACACGACUAGGAUUCCAAUUCCAAAUUAAACGGAAAUCGUAUACAAAACGAAUUCUAAUAACUAAGGAAAACAUUAAACUACCCUUUCGUAACCGACCGGGACACCACCACGGUUCAAUCGGCAACCUCCACGCUUUUCUUCAGAGUCAUCGGCAGACCACCUGUUGCAUUCAUCGGCAGACACCAGCAUCGGUCAUCGGUACGAGCACGUCACCACCCCCGGACUUAAUCAUCUUCAGCUAUUUUACAUCGGUAAUUACCUCCAUCGGGAACUCCCCUGUAGACUAGUUACCAUUGUUUUAUGUGCCGAUCUAAAUCCUAUUGACUUCUGGUGUGCAUUAAAAGACACGUGUCCAAAAACGGUGUCAACACAUGCCCCCCAAUUUCGGAGUAUAAAAUCAUUAAUGCUCUGAUAUUCUCUGCAGUUAAUGAUGCCUUUCCGCAAUUACUUCUUCUAAUUUGGUAAUCAAAUCACCAAAUCUGAACAACCUCAUCCCGACUCUUCUGUAGCUUCCUCGAAUUCCUCAACUUCCUGAACGAAUCUCCCCAGAACGCGCUCAUCGGCAAUAUGACCGUUAGAGAAAACUACCGAUGGACCGACCAGGCGAUCUUGCACAGUAAAAUAUCUUCCAAACUAUGACCGCUUGCCGUCAAAUCACCUGCACAAUCCCUUGAUUACCGUGCGAACAGUUACCAUAUCCACCUGAACACCCUCGGAUUUCACGGAUGCGGCAAAGAGAUAAGUCAUAUUUGCCCCUGCCCGUUUUGUCCUAUAAAUACUUCCUUCUUGGGUACUCCUUCUCCAUCAUGUCAUUCUACAGCCCAAAAUCUACUUUCCUGGCGGCGGCAUCACCCGAGAACCUCAGGAACUUCAUCAAGAGUUUUCUUCGCCAAUCCUCCAAGUCUUCGAUCCUCUUUCUUGCGAGAAAAUGGCCGUCAACUUCGUCGUUCCUGAGGUCAGUUUACCAGCCUUCUUUUUCCGUACUCUUGCUGUACCCCUGUUCAUCCGCAAUCCCCUUCACUGAAUACUUCCUUUUCUCUUUGUUCUUCUUUUUAUCCUCAAAAACUUUUAGGAUUUGGCCGAUAAGAUCAUAAUCCAUACUGAUCAACCUCACCUCCAAUGUCUCGGCCCGCGGAAAUCCAGAUCCUACCGAUCUAAUAAACGCAGAGACAAACAGAAUCCCCUUUAGAGCCGAAAACUUCUCCCUAGAUCUAUGGAAGGAUGCCUUCUGCUCCUAGCCCAGCCCUACCAAGGAUGGAAGGAUUGGUUUCUGAGAGUCAGUCAUUCAAAUGAGGUCCAAUGGAGUGAGCGGAAGUUAGACCAGUGCAUUAGAUUGUCUCUUGCCGAUAUGGAGAGGAAUGAGUCACUGCUAAUUGCUGCUUCGUACUUUUGGUCAGACACGCUCAAUGCUUUUGUGUUUGGCCACAGCCCUGCCUCACCUACUCUUACCGAUGUACUCAUGCUCACCGGCUUAGACAUAUCCACUGCCGACAGCAGCCAUCUGUUCGACACCAAACCCAGUGCUAAAGUAGAAACUCGCGCUAUCGGCGGUUGGUCUGGAUAUAUUCAGAAGUACCGAAAGACAGGGUCUGUCGGGGAGAGGGAGCAGAUAAUUUUCCUGAACAUGUGGUUGGAUAAGUUUGUGUUCUACGGCCGAUCGGCAGGACCAACCUCUGUUUAUUUAUCGGCAGCAGAAAAACUAGCCACUGGUGGCCGAUUUCCUCUUGGCCGAUACUUGCUUGGUGCUGCUUAUCACCUUUUCAUCAAGUAUCUAAGAAAUUCUUGCUAGGGCAGCCCAUCGGCAAUCUAGGAGGGCCCUGGUGGUUCAUCAACAUGUGGCUAAGUGUCCACAUGCAUAAGCGCCUUGGAUUUGACCUCUUUGCACAACGCUUCCCUAGAGAUAUAGCUGAAGACCAUGAGCUGGAUGAAGAAGAAUCGGCAACUCGUUCCCCUCUGAACUAUGGUGAAGCAGCCAUAGUUUUACCUGGCACUAGAGGAAAUGAAGAUCAGGUCAGCCGAUUCUUCCAGACUCUUUAUGAAGGUCUGGCCAAAGAGCAGCGAGCAUGGAUGCCCUAUGAGGACCCAGACACCAGAUUUCCUCUGACUUUUCACCCCUUUGAUAACGCUCUCAAUAAGGACCAGGAUCUGAUGAUGGCAAUCAUCACUCCAAGAGCUAUACCAGUGAACUUCUUUGGUAGUGGAAAAGCCUCCAAUCUGACUUACGAAUUCUACAACCCAUCGGCACUAGCUCGCCAACUAGCCUUUGGACAGCUACCGAUUGCGCUCUGCUACGCCGAUGUGGUGAAACCAAGGGAAACCAUAACCAGCAAUCUCGAGUGGACUAGAAUAGAUCAACUUCCACCAAAUGCCGAUACAGACGUUGAUCUAUCGGUUUGGAUUCCGGUUCUCUUCAUCACCCAAGCAUAUAAGCAGUGGUGGGAAGAAUGGAAAGAACACCUGUUCUGCAAAUCGGCCCUCACAUACCGUGGCAUGAUCGACUCCAAGUAUAAAAUUCCCGAGAACACUGUAAGUUUCCAACCGAUGUUUCAAUCUUCUUAUAUUACUUUCAUUUUCUAUCAGUAACUUACUUUCUCUAUUUUUUACAGGUCGAUGAUACGCCGCCAUCAGUUAGCAGAAGUGGCAGGCCGAUUGAACUCCUUCCAUCAGGCCCGAUCACUUUGAUCGGCAACAGCGCUCCAAGCUUUGCGGCUUUAAUGCACCCGGGUGUGCGGUUCAAGAAAAUCACCACCAGGCGAGCGAAAACAUCCCCAUCGGUAGCUGCCACUGCUUUGGCGCAAGCUUUCAAGGUUAAUUCUUGGCCUCUUCAACUUAUACCGAUUCCAUUCUUACAUUUACAUAACUUUUCAGGACACAUCGGCUGGCAUGGGAACCCCAUCGGUAACUUUUAUUAUUUCAACCAGAACCUCAUUAAUACUUUGUUAUACUUGCACUUAUAGAACUUUCAUUGUUGUAUCAGCAGACUGGCAAAUCGGCAAAGACUAGAAGUACCAAAACAACUGUCGAUGCCCCCCAGUCCAGCCAAGCAAAGAGAAAGGGUCCCAAGAGUACCAAAUCACAAGUGAAGCGUCAGAGAACAGCAACACCUCCUCCCCCUCCAAGGUCACCGAUCCCUGUAGAAUCGUCCCCCUCUUCUCCAGAAGCUCAGACACAGCAAGUGCCGUCUCCCCCUCGGCCACAAGAAGAACCCCAGCCAGAAGAACUUCAGCCGGAAGAACCUCAGCUAGAAGAAAUAUCGACCGAUGUACACGAGCAGACUGCCGAUCCAGCGGUCUCAAUUAUAGCAUCGGUAGUCUCCUCGAUCCAGACAAGCACUGCACUCCAUCAAGGUAAAAUACUAUUCAUAGAAUUAUGGCCGAUGGACCUAUUUUUCCACUUUAUAAUUAUCCCUAUUAUCUUUCAGCUGACAUUGUUCCAUCGGCAACCCCAGCUGAUCAACCUAUAAUGCCAUCGGCCUCAACUAGCCAGAGGCGAGAAAUCGCCCUGAAACAAGUAAGUUACCCGAUCUCUAUUUCUGUCAUCACCAGUACUUGAUCAUCAAAUAAAUAAUUUCCCUCUUUCUUUCAGGAACAAGAUUAUCCCGACAGCCUGUUCUCCUUCGCCAUCGAAAUCUCUGAAGAUGAAGGUGAACAAGUGAGCUCUUCUCAAACAAUUGGGAUUUCAUCGGCAGAAAUCAGAGCAAAGCUGGAGGAUUUGCUGGCCCUGCUUCACAAGGAUACAGCCCAAUUGGUUGAUGACUCCGAUCCAACCAAGGCUCUAUUGAAAGCUCUCACAGGCUAGAUCUCUGCCGAUGUCGAGGAAAUCCUCUUCAGAGCCGCACACUUGGAAAGUCGACAGCUUCAGUACCAAAAGGCCACUCAGUGCCUUGCCGAUAGGGCCACUUAUGCCCAGCUUUCAGAGGAGGUGAUGAAGGUAAAGCAUCUUGCCGAUGAGAAGCAUAAGAGCAUCGUCAUUCUGAAAUCCUCAGGAGAGGUGCUGAAGCAAAAGAUCUGUAACCUAUCGGCAAAAAGAGAAGCCCUGUUGGCAGAACUUAAACAAGUGGAAGAAGCUCUGUCCCAAGCUCAACAUGAAGAAAGCCAGCUGCCUGAAGCAAUCAAGACUCUCAAACAGGAACGAAACAUCCAAGCUCGCAAGGCAUUGCAGAUGAAGAAGAAGCUGAAACCGGUGGAAGGUUCUGCCGAUGAAGACAUCAGAGAGAUAGAAGAAGCUGACCAAAUUCGUCUGCGUGCUAUAUCAGCCAUUCGAGCCUUGCUGAAUGUAUGAACUCUUCAUCGGCGGUGUACUUUGCUCUCUCUUUAAAACACUUUUGAUCAUUUUGGUCUAGCCGAUAGGACUAUUAUCGGCAUCCUUUUAAAACAUUGAGUCCGACCCCAGAUACACUUUAGUCCAGCCGAUAGGAAUGUUAUCGGCACUUAAACUUUCACGCAUCAAUCCAUAUGCUAGGAUAAUAUUUCUUUAAGUAUUUGCCAUUUAAUGCCCUGGGAAAUUCAACUCCUUCGAGAGUCUCUAAAAUAUAGGCAUUGCCAGGAGCAGAUCGAUUUAUCCGAUAGAGACCCUCCUAGUUGGGAGACCACUUCCCAAAUUUUGAACUUUUAGUCCUGAUCGGUAAGAUUAGUUUCCAUACUAAGUCUCCAUCGGCAAACUCCUUAGUCUUUACUUUCUUAUCAUACCAUCUGCCAACUCUCUUUUUACUUUCUUCUAUACUCAUCAAAGCUUUUCAGCCGAUGUCCUGCUAAAUCAUCCAACUCGUCUUUCAUCAAAGUAGCAUAGUCAUCGGCAGUCAGCUGAUCUAGAAAAGAUAGUCGCCUAGAUCCGGUUUUAAUCUCCCAUGUCAAUAUAGCAUCAUGUCCAUAUACCAACUGAUAAGGGAAACUUUGGUCGACCCAUGACAAGCCAUCCGAUACGACCAUAAAGCUUCAUUCAACAACGUAUGCCACCUCCUAGGAUUUUCUUCGAUCUUCCGUUUGAUGAGUUUAAUAAUUCCUUUGUUAGAUGCUUCGGCCUGCCCAUUGGCUUGAGCAUAAUAAGGAGAAGAAUUCAAUACUUUAAUUCCCAUACUGAUUGCAAAUUCAUCAAACUCUCCUGAUGUAAACAUAGUACCCUGAUCGGUAGUAAUCAUUUGAGGAAUGCCGAAUCGGUAAACAAUAUGCUCUUUUACAAAAUCAAUCAUAUUGGCGAUGUAACUUUCUUCAAAGGAAUAGCUUCAACCCACUUGGUGAAAUAAUCAGUGGCAACCAAGAUGAACUUAUGCCCUUUGCUUGAUGGUGGGUAAAUCUGGCCGAUUAGAUCAAUGGCCCAUCCCCAGAGCGGCCAAGGUUUAAUAAUGGGAUUCAUGGCCGAUGCGGGUGCCCUUUGAAUAUUGCCAAACUUCUGACAUCCCUGACAUCCUUUGAAAUAUUUAAAACAAUCCUCAAGUAUGGUCGGCCAAUAAUACCCAUUUCUUCUAAUCAUCCAUUUCAUCUUAAAUGCUGAUUGAUGUGCUCCACAUACCCCUUCAUGUAUUUCUCACAUCAAACUUUUAGCUUCAUCAUCACCUAAGCACUUGAGAAGAACCCCAUCGAUCGUUUGGUAAUAAACUUCAUCUUCGAGAAGCACAUACUUGGUAGCUUGAAACCGGACACGCCUCUCAACCUUCUUGGAUGGAUUCUUUAAAUAAUCGAUAAUUUCUUUCCUCCAAUCAUCGGCAUUAAUUGCCGAUACUGUGUUCAAUAUGGGCUGAUAUCCCGAGGCAUGCUGAGCCAACCGAUUAGCCUCCUCAUUAUGCAAUCGAGGAACAUGCUCUAAUCGGAAAUCCUUGAAUUCCCUUAAUUGUUGCAUACUCCUUUCAUAAUAUGUUAUCAGAAUUUCACUUCGGCAUUCAUAACUUCUAGCCAAUUGAUUUAUAACCAGCAUAGAGUCCCCGAAGAUUUCAACAACAUCAGCAUGAACUUCUUUUAAGAACUCUAACCCUUUAAUCUACGUUACACGAGUACGGGUACGGGUAUCUGAUACAAUACGUAUCGGAUACACGGAUACGCACUUUCUCAAAAAAACCCCCACUAAAAUGGUGUAUCCGAGUAUCCGUAUCCGCGUAUCCGACGAGUAUCGGAUACGGAUACGUCACCCCCUUAGAGUAUCCGUGUAACAUAGCCUUUAAUCAAUGCUUGAUACUCGGCUUGAUUAUUCGUCGAUGUGGCAACAAUCGACAAAGAGAACUCAUAUUUCUUUCCCUGAGGGGAAAUUAACACUAUACCUGUAACAGAACCGACCAAAUUAUAAGAGAUUAAGCCUAACAGCGACCAUUUGCAUAGUCAAACCAUCAGGUUUAAGCCCAUAUAAUCCCGGUAGUCCGUGAAAUCUCGAAGGAUUUCAAACCACACAUCGUACAACAGCCAAGAUCGUAAUAAGUUUAGCGGUCACCAUCCACAAAUACAUCCAGAUUACAACAUUCAUAAAAUACAUCGGAGUUCUUAAAAUUAUUACAAACCAAGUUCUUCAAGUAGCGGAAGCUUCAUAGUUCGAAAAUACGACACACACACUUAGUCUGAUACAGUGCCAUAGUUCGGUCAUUCCCACAAAAGCAAAGGAGAAGACGGAGUGACCAUCGCCCUUGGUCUAGUCAUCACCCAUGGGUGGGUACAGACAGAGGAUGCAAUAACCAAAGUACAUUUGACCAUCUGCAAAACUGUUGACGGUCCUUAAGUAUCAAAUUUAAUUAUCAAAUAAACAAAGAAAAGGAUCCAAAUGAAAUCAACAUCUAGACUUAGGGUUUUAUCUGACAGAAUUCCACGAGUUUUGGUGUUUGUCUAUUUCUACAGGGGGUUAUCAGGAAAUAAGGAAGAAAGGCCCACAUGUCAGGAUUACAUAGAGAUAUCAACGCACCGCGCAAUUUUCUACCAUCUAGAAGACUCCAGAAGCCACGAGACCGAAGCGGAGGCGAAACGGGGCCAGGACCUGGGCGCCCGCCCAGUUUCCUUGGGCGCCCGCCCACCUGCCGAGCCCAAUCAGGACUCUUUCUCUCGGGAGAUCUCCACCGACCUAUUGGAUCCAGAAUAACGUAGUACCACAUCGCCUACCGACCCAAAAACGCAUAGAAGGGGAGGACUAUAUAAGGAGACCCCCCUGGCCCCUGGAGAAGACAUGAAGAAAUUAUCAUAGAGAUUGAGGGGUGCCCUCAAAGGAAAACCUCUUCUCUAAUUAAUAUUUCUUUUUAAGCUUAGCAACCAAUGUAAGGUAGAAAUAGAACUUCUAGUUUCUACUAGAUUGAGAGAGAUAGAGUGGAGGUGUUGAUUGGAGGAAGCCCGGCCUGUCGGUGUCUACUCCAAGCUUGUACCUGCGGGAUCAAGUUCUCCUAACCCGAAGCUUGCUCCUAGGAUUCUUCAGUAUUUCGACUUCUAAAUUCUAGUAAGUUCUUGUUUUAUUGUUCUUAUGGUUUAUGAGUUUACUUUAAUCUCUUCGCGUGGAGUUUAGAGUAAUCAUUGCUAGCGUAAACGUGGUGUUUAGGCUGGGGUACUCAUAGAUAUUCCAUGACUAGCUGGACCGUGGUAGUAGUGAGGAACGUGACAAUUCCGAGUUACCUUUGUAGAUCACAUCUCGUUAGCAGGAAGGAUAGGGUUUAUAGGUGCGGGUUGAACAUCCUUUGUGGUGUCUAGAUUCCGUUAGCCUCCCCAUUAGAACAGUAGAUUAUCCUUACCAAGGUUAGAAGGAGACUACGGUUGCAGUCUUCUCUAUUUAUCACUCACAUCGAGAGACAUUCUUUGUAGCCUAAAGAGAUAGUAGCAAUAGAUUUGGUUAGUCAGAUGCACCCUUUCUCCCAGUGGUAAAAAUAUAAAUACGAUAACUCUGGAUAACCUCCCGGGUGAAAUGCUCACCGAUAUUCGUGCGCUUGCGGAUCUUUUCCUUAUUGCGUUACCAAAUAUCAACAAGCAUUUCUGGCGCCGUUGCCGGGGAGAAAGACGGUUUGCUGAGAUAACUUUGAGUCUUGCUAUUAUCUUGUAUUAUACUUUUAUUCUUUUAUCUUUUUAUUUUUAUCUUUAUGGAUAACUCAAAUUCCAUACCUAUUAUUAAAUUCUUUGCACCUUCGGAGACCAGCCAUAGACCAUGGGAGUCAACACGUCCUGCCCCUAAUUAUGAUCUGUGUCCGGAGUUGAUUGCAAUAGGUCAAAACCAACCCUUUUCUAUAGCUGAGGUCCUAUCUUUUAAUCAAAAAGAUAAUGCACUUUUAGCUACACCUAGGGAAUCUUUUAAUCUUUCUAUAAAUUCUGGUUUAGACCUAGCCCUAUAAAUGAGGUCCUAUCUGUUUUUCCUAGAUAUUUUCACAUUGGUCUUAAUCAUAUAACCUUUGGUAGAGUCUUUCUUUCUUUAUCUUUUAGUAAAGGAAGGUAUGUCUUCAUUCAUAGACAUCCUUCUUGCACUAGUCUUCAUAGAAAAAUCUUAGAGAUAGAGAAGGAAUCAUCUCCCAUACAAGGAGAGGAAGUUUCAAUAGCCGAUUUCCAAACAUUUCAAUCCCAUAAUUCGGCUAUCCAAUCCAUCCUUGAGCUUAAUAAUUUCUACUAUGCUUUUUCUCUUGAACCUCCCGAUAAUCCUAUGAAUCUCUCUAGACAUCCCAUGCAUAAGAAGGAGGUUCGAGAAGAGCAACAUCAAUGGCUAGAGGGCAUUAAAAUCCAUGUGCUAUCACCAUUGAAUGGAUAGAUGAAACAAACUUGAGAGACAAUCCUAGAGGAAUUUUAAGCAUUCAUGAAGAAUCAUCCUUGGAGUUUAAGAAUGAGAGAAACAACAAUGAGCAUGGAAGUUAUUUCAUAAAUACCUCACCCAGUCCUUGCUCAUGUAAAACAUCUCUCUAAUCAAUUUGUCUCUCCAUCCUUACCACAUUUGAGAUCUGCAACCCCCUCUUCCUCUUCAUUUAUAAAAACUUUAAAAGGGCGGUUGUCGAUGCAUAUGUCUAUAAUAUAUAUUGCAGAUCUCGUUGAGUUGAUCUUGAUAUAGGUAGGUGUUGGACGGGAAACCACUUCACCAACAUAACUUGAUAGUUUCCCAAGAACAAGCUUAGUGUCCUAAAACAAGCACCUAUUAGAUCACAACAUGAACUUCUAAUUAUUUGCAACAUUGCUUUGUGUAUUGAGCAUAUAAAGAUAAUUGUAGAAAUAUUCCUUCGGGUAUUCUUGUCACUAACCUUUCCAGGAUUGGAGCAAGAAGAUCGGAUGAAUGACAAGCACAGGGUAUGUCCAACCAACCAUCACACAACAUUGAAUUAAAUACAUCCAAACUUGAAUUUUAUAAAAUUCAAGCUUGGGGGAGUACUUUACAUAAAAACAUCUUUUGCCAUGUUGCUACGUUGGUUGUCCUUACCUUUGAGACAUGCUCAAUUUGUUAAAUACUAAUUACACUACUUCAUCUCCACUUAAGUAGAUCUCUAUAAAUGCUCUCAUGCUACCUUUAUUUGCUUUAGUAUAUGUCUAGGUUUGGAAUAGUUUCAUUUAUCUCUUAAUUAAGCAUGGUGCUUAGUUUAGGAAUGAUGAUCUUACUUCCAAGGGGUUUUAAAUUAAGCAUGGUGCUUAGGUUAAAAUGCCCUUCUAAAUCAAAUUAGACAUGGUGUCUAGGUUGAUUUUUAAGCCGAUAGUAUGCUAUAGUAGAUAGGGGAUAUUUUGUUGGACUAACCCCUGCAGGAAAACUUUCAAUAUCAACCUGGGAAGUCCUGAGAUAAACUCGCAUUGGAGAUGAAGAAAGUGACACAUGAAGUUUAAAAAUUUGCACAAGAAAGACGUGGCUCAUAAGAGAUGAUUCAUGGAGGGUGCCACAAACACGAUGCACAACCGCUAAGAAAGGAAAGCUUCCACAAGGUGAUACUGUACCGUCACUCUUCAAGUAAGGUAACACCUUAAGGUACUUGACUAUCGCUUUUAUAAGUUUCUCCUUGGUUCUAGCAUUCACAUAAAUAAAGAGACAAACAUGUAUGAUUUGUAACUCCAGAUUAACCAACACAAUUAAUUCAACAUGUUUAGUCCUUUAAUCUUUGUUCUUAGUACUACCCUCGUGAUCCCACGCUCCUAAACAUAUAAGCUAAUAUGUUGCACAUUCAAUAUUUGGAAGAUAUAAACAAAACAUAAAUAUAGAUAGAUUAUCUUUCCAUUAGGUUGAGCCAUCUGAUCUGACAAAUGUUUCAAAUACUACACUCAUGAUCUUAUUAUCCAUCAACUUUGUCUUGCUCACUAUGCUUAAGGUUAGAGAAGAACAAAUACACUUUUGGUUCUGUUGGUGUUUUCCACCAACAGAGCCCAUGCACUUGAUCUCUGCCUUGUCUCUAUGAACAGGUACACUUCAAGCAAAACAUGGAGGAGUUUUAGAACUCCCAGACUCCACCAAGUGAAGAACCUAGAUCUAUGAGCACAAACACACUGAGCAGGAUAUUGCCAACACCAUACUUCGAACUGCUGGGCAAAGAAGAACAUGGGUGACACCGUAUCAAGAGGUGCGGACUUCAAGGUCCACACCUAAUUAAAUGAUGCACCUAAAGGAUGAAGAUGGUGGAAAGUCUUGUCCAGAAGACUUAAAACAUUGGAUCCUUGUCGGAAGAGGUCAACAUCGUCGACUCAGGUCACCUUUCUUGAUCAAGAAGGACGACCCUGGUGUUCCAAGCAUUGAGUGCGCAAUCAAUGGAUACUCUUUUUAGAAGACACUCUACGACACCGGAUCUGACGACAACAUAAUGGCCGCAGUCACUUAUCAGCUCCUGCAUGGAACCAUGCCCCUACAACCAAUAUAUUCAGCUCCAGAUGAUUUUCAGGUCAUUGACAUGGGAGAAGACGAAUAUGAUCCACCCACCAUCCUUGGAAGACCGUUCCUCAACACUAUCAAAGCAAUCAUCUACAUUGGAACCAGAGAAGUCCACAUGCACUUCCCCUCUGAGAAGGUACGCAACUAUUUUACUGACCAUAACUAUAUAGUUGAAGACUCUAAGUAGGUCAGGACAAGAAGACGACGCAACCGCAACCAAGAGGAGGCAAAUCAUCAAGAACGGAUGGGUAGACUACGAAGGAAAAGUGAUAAGGACUGAAGUCAUACAGCUUGAACAGAACUGUCCUGAGGAGACCGUAGCACCGAGUCAGGUGUGGAGGGAGAAGAUAGUUAUACACAAAGAGAGGCGCCGCCGGAAUCACCGACUACGCCACCUAGCGAAUCCCAGGACGACUGAGAAAACAGAGAGUCCCGUUCGGAGGACAUAAAAAUACCGAACGUCUUGCCAAGAGGUAAACUUGGUAGUUAUCCUUUUCCUUUCAAUUAUUCAAUUAUAGUUUGCUUAGUUAAUCAGGUUCAUGCUAUCUUGAAAAGAAAAUAAAAAUAUUAAAAAAAUAGUAAGCCCCAUGUGAGUAUGCUCAUAAGUACAUUCACUGUGGUGGCAUAAAAAUAAAAUAAAUAAGUUUUCAUCUUAUAAUAAAAAUAUAUAAAAAAAUAAUAUAUAUAAUAAUAAUAAGUGUAUGGUCCUGCUAAAUAAAUAACAUUUAUUAAGGAUGCUCAACAUGAUGAAGGCUAGAUAUUUAUGCUAACACUUAAUUAGUUCCACAAGCUUUGUUGUCUAUUUGAGCUCCACAGAAUUUAAGAAUCAAGAAGACUAGCAGACGGAGGACAUUCUAAUCGCUGUCAGAAUGCUGCUGACUUUCAAAUACACCUCUGCCACCUGCUAGCUACAUCAAGAGAAAUUACGUCAAAAUUCAGCUUGGGGGAGAGCACCCCCAUUUAUCUCGCUAAGUAUUUCUAUCUAUCUUUAUACUUAUAUUAUGUUAGAAUAUUAAAAUACAUAAACUAUGAAAAACCAAAUAAAGAUUUUGUGCUUAUAUAUAUCUUUUGCUUAGUAUGUUUAAUAAAUAAAUAAAGUGGCUAUGCUAAUCUGAAUCUUAAUAAUAAAACUCUAGCAUGGAUAUGAUGAAUAGUUGCUCUGCCUAAUUUGCAAUUUUGAAGUUCCCUCUCAAGUUUAGACAUAACUGUUAUAAUUUAAAGCUUGCUCUAGAUCUAAACUUGUGGGAUGAAAACUUGAUCUGAAAUCUAAGUUGUUAACGGAUAUGAUAUGGGAAGGUUGAGCUGCUGUUUAUCUGUUCCUAGAGAUGCUAGAAUUCUGGAGAAUUUUAUCUUUGAAAAUCUUUGAAAUGUUGCAUGAUGAGUUCCUGUAUGAUGAGAGUUUAAAAUCCUACCACAGCCAUAUGUACAUGCUUGCUAGACUUUGAGCCACACAUUUACUAUUUACUGCUUAUGAGCAUUAAGUGUGGUCAAGCUGUGUAGACCCUUAGGAGCUUGUCAUGUGGUUAAAUCAAGAUUCACUUGCACGUUCACUCAUAUAUGCUACUUCUACUCCGGAAGUACCAUCCACAUAUAUCCAUCCAUUUCCAUCUCCAGAAUUACCCAAAAAUAUUCUACUCCUAAUCCGGGAGAGAAUAGUCAAAAACAUUUUCCUAUCCCUGUUAUUCCCUAUGAAAUAAAUGCUCCAAAUAUUUUGGUUACUACCACUUGCUAUAUUAUCUCAAGAGAUGAGUGCUCUGGAAAAAAAAGAAAGAAAAGAGAAGAAAAAGAAAUAUAAACGAGGAAAUAAAAAGGGGCAAGUGCCCGGAACCUCGAAAGAAAGAAAAAGUGAGACGAGAGGUAAAAAUGGACAAGUGUCCGACAGUAGAAUUAGGGGUACAAGAUACCCACCUGAGAGGAAAGAAAAAGAAGAGCAUCUCAUUCUCCUCAUAAAGUUUCAAAAAGCAAGAAGGUAUGUAUCCCCUCAAAAGAGCAAAAGUAGAAUUAGACUUUCACCAUUGUUAUUACGAUCAUCACCAUACACCAUUUAUUCGCCACACAUGCACAUCUUGAUUUGGCUUAUUGAUUUGUUUCUCUGGAUCCAUGGUUUGACUAUGCAAUAAAUGUCUUGUAAGUAUGUAUUAGCUGUCUCCCACCUAUGAGCUCCAGAUAUCAAGCCUUAUUAGAGUAGGGUGAGAGAGAAGGUAUUAUCACUAUGCAUUAUACCAAAAAUACCACAUACUUUGAGAGAAGGCAUAUACCAUUACUGCCUUGGUAAGGAUCCAGAAAUACCAUAAAAGAGAGACUAGAGAGAGUCAUACAAGGAAUCUCUGAGUUUUAUUUGAAAAUCUACAAAAAAAAAACCCAGAGCUAUAGCUGAUCAAGAAUAAGAGACAUGGCACUUGGCUAGACUAUUCUAUCUUUUAACCUCUCAAGACAGAAGUGACGGUUACAAGUCCCAUGGUGAAGGUAAAGUAAGUUUUAAGUGUUGACAAAAAGCAUGUGUACCGUCAAUUUUUAAAGAUAUUGCAACAACUUCUAAUCCAUUGCUAUGUCUAUCCUUGCUCAGGGAUGAGCAAAAGGUAAGCUUGGGGGAGUUUGUUGACGGUCCUUAAGUAUCAAAUUUAAUUAUCAAAUAAACAAAGAAAAGGAUCCAAAUGAAAUCAACAUCUAGACUUAGGGUUUUAUCUGACAGAAUUCCACGAGUUUUGGUGUUUGUCUAUUUCUAUAGGGGGUUAUCAGGAAAUAAGGAAGAAAGGCCCACAUGUCAGGAUUACAUAGAGAUAUCAACGCACCGCGCAAUUUUCUACCAUCUAGAAGACUCCAGAAGCCACGAGACUAAAGCAGAGGCGAAACGGGGCCAGGACCUGGGCGCCCGCCCACCUGCCUUGCCCAAUCAGGACUCUUUCUCUCGGGAGAUCUCCACCGACUUUUUGGAUCCAGAAUAACGUAGUACCACAUCGCCUACCGACCCAAAAAUGCAUAGAAGGGGAGGACUAUAUAAGGAGACCCCCCUGGCCCCUGGAGAAGACAUGAAGAAAUUAUCAUAGAGAUUGGGGGGUGCCCUCAAAGGAAAACCUCUUCUCUAAUUAAUAUUUCUUUUUAAGCUUAGCAACCAAUGUAAGGUAGAAAUAGAUCUUCUAGUUUCUACUAGAUUGAGAGAGAUAGAGUGGAGGUGUUGAUUGGAGGAAGCCCGGCU
rnacentral:lncRNA from 1 species